rnacentral:lncRNA from 1 species
CUGACUCCAAACCCUUUUCAGCUACCUCCCCUGCUUCCUCCAAACCCCAUUCAGCCUCCUCCCUUGCUUCCUCCCAACCCUUUUCAGCCACCUCCCCUGCUUCCUCCAAACCCCUUUCAGCCUCCUCCCUUGCUUCCUCCCAACCCUUUUCAGCCACCUCCCCUGCUUCCUCCAAACCCCUUUCAGCCUCCUCCCUUGCUUCCUCCCAACCCUUUUCAGCCACCUCCCCUGCUUCCUCCAAACCCCUUUCAGCCUCCUCCCUUGCUUCCUCCCAACCCUUUUCAGCCGCCACCAGCUCCACUUAUUCCAAACCCGUUUCAGCCUCCUCCAGCUCCACUUAUUCCAAACCCGUUUCAGCCUCCCCCGGCUCCACUUUUUCCUCCAAACCCGUUUCAGCCUCCCCCGGCUCCACUUUUUCCUCCAAACCCGUUUCAGCCUCCUCCAGCUCCACUUAUUCCAAACCCGUUUCAGCCUCCCCCGGCUCCACUUUUUCCUCCAAACCCGUUUCGGCCUCCUCGAGCACCUCCGUCACCAUUGUUUCCUUUUCCACCAAUUCCAGGGCUAACUCCACCAUCACCACCACCACCACCACCACCAUUCUUCCCAUUUCCUCUUCCUCCAUUCCCUUUCCCACCUAUACCUCCUUUCCCCGGCAUCCCCCCUGCAUCGACUUCACCAACGAAAUCUUCUCCUUGAUUAAUGAAUACUAUUCCUCAAUGUAUAAUUCUCCAAUAAUAUUUGUCACACUCUAGUCAGUCCUUUUUUGUUUCUUUUCCAUUUUCCUUUUCUAGUGAUGAAAUUAUACAGUCAUGUAAGUGCCCAAACUGUGGGGUCGUCUCUGAAUUGUUUUUAUGACAGUGCCGAUUGUCAAUAAGAAGCCCCGUGAUACAAUUAUUGUACUAUAAUAAAUCCAUUCCUGGAGUUAUCUGGCAGGAUUCUUAGUAGUGCACAAGGAAUCAGAGAAAAGCAUGAUUAAUUUGGUCUUCUUGUUUUUCCAUGGAAAAUCUUUUAGUUUGUUUGACUAGAUGGGGGUGCUGUUUGCAAUGAUUAGAUCAAGGUGACAACGUUUAAAUUCUCUGAUGGAUGAAUUAACUCUGACAUUGAAAAGGGAUUUGCCAAAAAAAAAAUUUAGUGCCUUCCUAAUGCAAAAGUUGCAUCACAUAUUUCGAAUUUCAUCCACAGUUAGUAAUUAUAUGGACUAUGGAGUAGUAUUUUCCUUCUUAUUUAACCACAAGGAAAGGCUUUGGAGGGUCAAUUUCUAACUGGUUACAGGGGGAGAACUUGGACUUGGUUAGGUUGGCUACUCCCAAUCCUUGAAAUUAGGCUUUUUCUAAACCCAAACUUGAAAUUGGGCUUCACGUGAUCCAUUUCAAGUUUUGGGUGCUAACUUUUAGAUCAUUUAAAACUAUCCAUCCCCAUAAACCCAACCCAAGACAACUAAAUUUAGAGCUGUCAUAUUUGGCCAUAUAAGAUCACCGGUCUGAAUCCCAACUCCAUCAAUCUAAUUUUGUCAAAAAAAAUUGACAACUCAAACUCAUUCAAUUCAAACCCGAAUUGAUCAAUAUCUAAAUCGAUUCAAAUUCAAAAUGAUUAAAAUGGAAUAACUCAAAAUGAUCCAAACUUAAAUUUAAUAUUAUAAUUUUAUUUUGUUUCUCAAAUACUAAUUUUUAAAAUUAAUAAAUAUAACCCAAAUAAUUACUCUAUUAGGAAUUUUAAAUAUAAUAAAAAAUAAAGACCCUUUUAUAUUUAUCCUUUAAAAAUUAAUUUUAUUAAAAUAAUUCUAGCUAUUCAGUUCUUGAUGCUAUGAGUUUUCCAAGUUCUAUUUCAAUUUCAAUGUUUGGGAAUUGCCAUUUCAGAGGAAAUGCCAUUUUUUAAGGAGGAGGUUUGGGAUAUAAUUAGGGGUUACGAUGGUAACAAAGCCCCAAGCCUUGAUGGUUUUAAUUUGGAGUUCUUUAAGAGACAAUGGGAGGUGAUGAAGCGUGAAGUUAUAAAGUUUAUGGAGGAGUUUUACUGUAAUGCUAAAUUUCUUAGAGGAGUGAAUGUUUCUUUCAUCACACUUAUUCCCAAGUGUGCAAAUCUUUCAGAGAUCAAUGAGUAUAGACCGAUUAGCUUGGUUGAGAGUUUGUGCAAAAUUGCAGCAAAAGUCUUGACAAAUGAAUGAAAAUAGUCAUUGGAGAGGUUAUUGGGGCUUACUCAUUUGCAUUUGUUUGUGGUAGAUACUUUUUGGAUUGUUCCUUGAGUGCCAAUGAGAUUGUUGACCUGCUCAAGAAUGAGGGAAAGAGGGGUUUUCUACUUAAAGUGGAUUUGGAAAAGACAUAUGAUAGUGUUGAUUGGAGUUUUUUAGAUUUCGCUUUGGGAAAGUUGGGAUUUGGAAGAAAUUGGAGGGAAUGAGUUAAGGAAUGUACAACCAUGACCAUUGUCUCUAUUUUAGUGAAUGGUGUCCCAAUUGAACCAUUUAAAAUGAAAAGAAGGUUAUGUCAGGGAUGCCCUUUUUCUUUUUUCCUCUUUAAUAUGGUGGUGAAGGUUUUUAACAUUCAAAUGCGUAAGGUUGAGGAAAUAGGUCUGUGUAGUGGGAUUAGCAUUAGGGGGAUGAACUGGUUGUUUCUCAUUUGCAGUACAUUGAUGACACCCUCAUUUUUUGUAAAUUAGAGUUAAGGGAUCUUCAAAGUGUUUAGAGAAUCCUUACGUGUUUUCAAGUUAUCUCAAGGUUCAAAAUUAAUUUCCAGAAAAGCAGUUUAAUUGAUGUGGGUGUGGAGAGCAGCUCUUUGGAAAGUUAGACAGCUAGCAUCUAGUGCAGGGUAGGGGAGUUCCCUACAGUGUUAGCCUUCCGCUUGAGGUUGUCCAAAAUUUGUGUAGAGUGUGGAAGCGGUUGUUGAUAGAUUUAAGGUCAGAUUGGCAGGAUGGAAGGGAAAAGUAAUAAAUCUUUAAGUGGUAGGAUCAUUUUACUCCAUUCAGUGUUUUCUAGUUUCCUCAUUUUUUACAUGUCUGUCUUUAAACUGCUUAUCAUUAUGAAAAGGAACUCGACAAAAUUUAUAGGGUUUUUGUGGUGUGGGACGAAAGCCAAAAGGAAAAUACAUUAUGUUGAUUAGGAAAGUAUAUGUAAUUAUAGGGAAAAUGGAGGGAUCGGGGUACUAGAUCUUAAGGUAAAAAACUAAGCUAUCAUUAACAAAUGGAUUUUGCAAUUUGGUAAUGAGAAGAGUAGUUUGUGAAUGAGGGUGGUAAUUGAGUAAAUAUGGAGUUGACCAUUACAACCUUCUCCUUGUGGACCAUAAUAGUAGGAAGAGUUUUAAAAUUUGGUUGAACAUCACAAAUCCUCUUUCCCCAACUUGUAAAUUUUUUCUGUAGAUUAUUUCUAAUGUUGAGCUUGUGGUGAGAAAGGGAGACAACUCAAUUUUCUAGAUUAAUUGUUGGGUGAAAGGUACGAGUCUCCAAUGGAUGGUGCAAGAAUGUAUGCUCUCACAAAUAAUAAAGAGGGCAGAAUUUCUAACUUCGGGUGAUGGCAUGAUGAUGAGUGGCAGUGGGAUAUUAGUUUUAGAUGGGAACCCUUUGAUUAGAAACAAAACCAGUGGCUGCAUUUAAAGGAAACUCUAGGUAAAUAUCACCUUAGUAGACUUUUGGAGGAUGAACUUGUGUGGAAACCUUUUCCCAACGGGGUGUAUAGCUCGAAAUCCUUUUGCAGGCUUGUUAUGGAUGAUAUGGGGCACAAGAGUGGGGUUUGAAAACUAGUUUGGGCUAAUUUGGCUCCAUUUAGAAUGGAAGCUUUUUGUUGGUAGUUUCUCCAUGAUCGUAUUACUAUAAAAAACGAGUUAGUGCGUAAAGGAUUAUUGAGAAAUAACUCAGCUUUGUGUUGCAUUUGUAAUAAGGAAAUAGAAACAGUCCAACAUUUAGGAAUGAAAUGGUUUUUUGGGGUAAGUGUUGAGAUACUAGGCAGCUUUUUGACAUCAUAAAGUUGAAGGUUGCAACUUAGGCUAAUGCAAAGUGGCAAAAAUGUGUAAUUUAGUCUUAAAUGUGUUUAAUUUUCCAAAUAUUAUGGAAACAAUAAAGGUAAAGACAAAAGGUAGGUAUGGGGUUAAAUGGAUGAGGCCAAGUGAAGGAAAACUUAAAUUUAAUGUGCAUGGGGUUGCCAGAGGUAGCCUUGGGGAAACAAGCAUAGGGGGAGUUCUUAGGGACUCCAACAUGGAUGUCAAAAUUAUCUUUCCUAAGUUUAUUGGGAUUACUAAUUCAAGUUUGGCAGAGUUGAUAGUUAUUAGAGAAGCCUUUCCUGUUUUUUUAGCCUCUAGAUGAAAUAACUCUUAUCUUGUCCUUAAAAGUGAUUCCAUUAAUGUUGUUAAAUGGUGUAAACACAUCUAAACAGCCCCGUGGCACAUAAGGAAGAUCAUUCUUCAUAUGGAAAAGUUGGGAAGAUAGAUUGCUAAAUGGGAUGUUACCGCAUUUUUAGAAAGGCAAAUCAUUUUGCGGAUAGGCUUGCAAAAUAUGGUGUAAAAAAAGGAUAAAGUUUAUUUUCAAUCAUUGGCUGAUGUAUUUUUUGCUGGCUGUUGUGAUUUGUUGGUAAAGAAUGCGAAGUUAUUUUGUUUUUACCUCUUCAACCUGUCGUAACGUGCGGGUCCGGGAACCCGAUCGCCAGACGCGAGGUGAAAACUCUAAAAAAAAACUAAAAAUUAGGAGUCGCCACCAAUCUUUUUUACCAGGUGCGAUUGGCCACCUAUUGACUCGAUUCUAAUCGAUAAAACCUUAAAUUAAUUUUAAGCCCACCGAAAAGAACCUUAAACUGGUCUACAUUUUUCUAGAUCUAAGUUCGGGAGUACAGUUACGCCCGGGGAAGGAUUAGCACCCCCGGGACACCCUUUCCAUGAACGGUACCAUUUAGAUUAUCCUAUUAGACUUUUAUUAUACUUCCUUAGUUAUGAUUCUCUUAUUUUAUCCCUUAUUUAUCCUAAAAUGGAACGCAAAUGUGAAGUAAGAUGAAAUGCAUAGCGUGAGACAAAAAUGCCGAACGAAUAACCUUUUAUCGAAAAUAUUUUCCCAAAUCCACCCAUCAUACUAGUGGGACUCGAGGCAUUCUCUCACCUAGGGAAUUAUCCGAGAAAUUCGCCUUCGCAAAUUCGACGAAUAAUUCCUGUCAUCAGGGUCAUCGUACGUUUUUUUUUUUUUAAAUAAUAUUUUUGUGCAUAAUGAACCUAAUUCGGGCAAAAGCCUUUUAUUAAAGAUACUUCUCGAGCCUUCCCAUCAUACUGGUGGGAUCCGAAGACAUCUUUUCACCUAGGAAACUUUUUGAGAAAUACCCGUUUUCGCAAGAUCCUCGAAAGAUCUCAUCAUCAAGGUUUAAACUCGAAAACAGAAAUAUUUAUAUGCAAUGAUAUGCAUGAUGCAAUAUAUAUGUACAUACUAUGCUAAUGCAAUUGUCCAUUUUUUAUUAUUAAUUAUUAUUUUCAUUUUAUUUUAUUUUUUAUUAUCAUAUUUUCUAUUUCAUUUCUAAUUAUUAUUUUUUAUACUUUACAGUUUUUAUUUUAAGUUACUCUUAUAUUUCCUUUUAUAAUUAGAUAAAUUGUUUAUGAUUCCAUGUUACUUUAAUGACAAAAAUUUUACAUUAUUUUAUUUUAUUNNNNNNNNNNNNNNNNNNNNNNNNNNNNNNNNNNNNNNNNNNNNNNNNNNNNNNNNNNNNNNNNNNNNNNNNNNNNNNNNNNNNNNNNNNNNNNNNNNNNNNNNNNNNNNNNNNNNNNNNNNNNNNNNNNNNNNNNNNNNNNNNNNNNNNNNNNNNNNNNNNNNNNNNNNNNNNNNNNNNNNNNNNNNNNNNNNNNNNNNNNNNNNNNNNNNNNNNNNNNNNNNNNNNNNNNNNNNNNNNNNNNNNNNNNNNNNNNNNNNNNNNNNNNNNNNNNNNNNNNNNNNNNNNNNNNNNNNNNNNNNNNNNNNNNNNNNNNNNNNNNNNNNNNNNNNNNNNNNNNNNNNNNNNNNNNNNNNNNNNNNNNNNNNNNNNNNNNNNNNNNNNNNNNNNNNNNNNNNNNNNNNNNNNNNNNNNNNNNNNNNNNNNNNNNNNNNNNNNNNNNNNNNNNNNNNNNNNNNNNNNNNNNNNNNNNNNNNNNNNNNNNNNNNNNNNNNNNNNNNNNNNNNNNNNNNNNNNNNNNNNNNNNNNNNNNNNNNNNNNNNNNNNNNNNNNNNNNNNNNNNNNNNNNNNNNNNNNNNNNNNNNNNNNNNNNNNNNNNNNNNNNNNNNNNNNNNNNNNNNNNNNNNNNNNNNNNNNNNNNNNNNNNNNNNNNNNNNNNNNNNNNNNNNNNNNNNNNNNNNNNNNNNNNNNNNNNNNNNNNNNNNNNNNNNNNNNNNNNNNNNNNNNNNNNNNNNNNNNNNNNNNNNNNNNNNNNNNNNNNNNNNNNNNNNNNNNNNNNNNNNNNNNNNNNNNNNNNNNNNNNNNNNNNNNNNNNNNNNNNNNNNNNNNNNNNNNNNNNNNNNNNNNNNNNNNNNNNNNNNNNNNNNNNNNNNNNNNNNNNNNNNNNNNNNNNNNNNNNNNNNNNNNNNNNNNNNNNNNNNNNNNNNNNNNNNNNNNNNNNNNNNNNNNNNNNNNNNNNNNNNNNNNNNNNNNNNNNNNNNNNNNNNNNNNNNNNNNNNNNNNNNNNNNNNNNNNNNNNNNNNNNNNNNNNNNNNNNNNNNNNNNNNNNNNNNNNNNNNNNNNNNNNNNNNNNNNNNNNNNNNNNNNNNNNNNNNNNNNNNNNNNNNNNNNNNNNNNNNNNNNNNNNNNNNNNNNNNNNNNNNNNNNNNNNNNNNNNNNNNNNNNNNNNNNNNNNNNNNNNNNNNNNNNNNNNNNNNNNNNNNNNNNNNNNNNNNNNNNNNNNNNNNNNNNNNNNNNNNNNNNNNNNNNNNNNNNNNNNNNNNNNNNNNNNNNNNNNNNNNNNNNNNNNNNNNNNNNNNNNNNNNNNNNNNNNNNNNNNNNNNNNNNNNNNNNNNNNNNNNNNNNNNNNNNNNNNNNNNNNNNNNNNNNNNNNNNNNNNNNNNNNNNNNNNNNNNNNNNNNNNNNNNNNNNNNNNNNNNNNNNNNNNNNNNNNNNNNNNNNNNNNNNNNNNNNNNNNNNNNNNNNNNNNNNNNNNNNNNNNNNNNNNNNNNNNNNNNNNNNNNNUUGGUUUUUUUUUUUUUUUUGUGGAUUGUUGUGGCUACUAGAGACUUAGGAAUUUUUGGUUGUACUUGUUUUCUUUGGUUUGCAGGAUCCCCCCCUCUAUUGCUACAGUGCCCCCUCUCCUUUAUACCCAGUUCUUGGCCUCUAAAGGGGGCACAUUUCACUACCUUGCCAGACGCGAAUUUUUCACGUCUGGCAAGGUGAGGGAGGUGCCUAGCAGAACGCACCCUGCCAGUCGUACCUCUUUCCACCUUUUUUUUUCUUUUUUCAUUUUUUCAUUAUUAUUUUUUUGUCAUUUUCAUUUAUUUUUUGUUUAUGAUUUUUAUUUAAUAAAAUUAUAAUUUUUAUAGUGUCUACAACUGCCCCUCUUUGCGCAUUUCGGAAAUUCGAAAUAGUGCAAAGACGUAAACAUUGUAUUUGACUAAUUCUUUAAUUCUCUUACCAAGUCUUUUUUUUAUAUAUUUUUUUUAUUUUUUUAUUUUUUAUUUAGAAGAGAUUUUUCAAAGCUGAGGCAACGAAACUUCUAAAAAUGAACUUCUCAAAGCUGAGGCAACGAACUUUUAAAAUAAACUCCUCAAAACUUAAAAAUGAACUCUUCAAAACUGAGACAACUAGGCUUUUGAAAAUGAACUCCUCAAAACUGAGGUAAUGGGACUUUAAAAAAUGAACUCCUCAAAACUGAGGUAAUGGGACUUUAAAAAAUGAACUCCUCAAAACUGAGGCAAUGAAACUUUAAAAAUGAACUCUUCAAAAUUGAGGCAAUGAAACUUGAAAAAUGAACUCCUCAAAGCUGAGGCAACGAGACUUUUAAAAAUGAACUCCUCAAAGCUUGAGGCAACGAAACUUCUUUAAACGAACUCGUCAAAGUUGAGGCAAUGAAACUUCUAAAAAUGAACUCCUCAAAAUCAAGGCAACGAAACUUUUAAAAAUGAACUACUCAAAAUUGAGGCAACGAGACCCCUUUUUUUUUUUAGUUCUUUAGAGCCUUCUCUUUUAUCAAUGGGGGAUGAAUCGAUCAUGCUUCUGAUCUCUCGUCUUCCCCGAUUCAUUGCUCACAACUGUUUUCUUCCUCUAUCAUAUGCAUGGUCCAAUCAUUCUUCACAUUUUUACUGUUCUCCAUUCUGUUGCUAUUUCCAUUUUUUUCUCUUUUUUCUUAGUCUUUUCUCUUUCCCUUUUUUACAUUACCAGACUCAAUUUCAUUCCUGGUCAAUUAUGAUCCUUUUUCAAAAUACUGCAAACAUUUCUUUACUUUAUCAUGCUCUUUAUUAAAUAUCAUUUCAAUUUUAUGACAAAUGCAAUGCAAUGUAAUCAUAUCUCCUCUCUUGGCAGAAUGGAAAUGAUGACCAUGUAGGGAGCAGAAAGGCUAUUUUUCAUUAGAGAAAUGGAAGUUUCUACAAUCAGGCAUAAUGACAAGGAACAAGGGAAAACCAAUUAAUACAAAAGGGAUAUAGUUCUUUCUUAAUGACUGUUCCGAUAGAUAUUGACAGUAGCCUCGAAAUUUUAUCUCAAAGCAGACACAAGCGUCAACUCCCUUGUCUUUGGUCUGCACAUCUCGGAUCAUGAUUUUCACCCCUUUUGUGUUAAGCCCUUAUAGUUCUUGGACCUCCUUCGUGUCUAAACCGCCCUUUCGGGUUUUCGCCCUAAACACAUCUCCUAUAUUCAAGCCGUUUUUUCAGGUUUUCAACUUGAAAUUUUUUAUUUUUUUUUCUCUUUUUUUUUACGUAAAAUAUUUCUUGACAGCAUCGGCAUUCACUGGGUUGGAAAACUCCCUUUCGUCCAUCUCUGCCAAGAUUAGUGCUCCCCCUAAAAAAGCUUUCUUCACCACAAAUGGUCCUACCCAAUUCGACGUCCAUUUCUCGUGAGGAUCCGGCUGGUUCGGAAGAAUUCUUUUCAAUACUAACUCUCCCUCUUGGAACUGACGAGGGUGUACCUUCUUACCAUAUGCCAUCAUCAUUCUCUUUUGAUAUAACUGCCCAUGACAAAGUGUUGUCAACUUUUUUUCUUCUAUGAGAUUCAAUUGCUCAUAAUGAACGUUAACCCAUUCAACUUCUUCCAACUGUACUUCUUUAAGGACCCUUAGGGAAGGGAUUUCUACUUCAAGUGGCAAAACUGCUUCUAUCCCAUACACCAAAGAGAACGGCGUAGCUCUUGUGGAAGUUCGGACUGUUGUGCGAUAAGCAUGCAAAGCAAAUGGUAACUUCUCAUGCUAGUCUUUGUAUACAUCUGUCAUCUUUUCAAUUAUCCUUUUGAUAUUCUUGUUGGCUGUUUUUACCGCUCCAUUCAUCUUUGGGCGAUAAGGCGCUGAAUUGUGAUGUUUGAUCUUGAACUUGGCACAAACCUCUUUCAUCAUUGAACCAUUGAGGUUACUAGCGUUAUCUGUGAUGAUCCUUUCCGGGAACCAUAGCGACAUAUUAUUUCUUUUUGGAUGAACUUACAUACCACUUUUUAGGUAACAUUGGCAUAAGAUGCUGCUUCUACCCACUUAGUGAAGUAGUCAAUCGCCACCAGAAUAAAUCGAUGCCCAUUUGAUGCCUUCGGGGUUAUUAACCCAAUCACAUCCAUGCCCCACAUUGAGAAUGGCCAUGGUGAUGUCAGUACAUUCAGUGAAUUUACAAGAGUGUAGAUUCUGUCUGCGUAUACCUGACACUUGUGACACUUUCGAGCGAAAUCUAUACAAUCUGUUUCCAACGUGAGCCAGUAAUACCCUACUCUCAUGACCUGUCUUGUCAACAUAUGCCCACUUACAUGUGCUCCACAAAUUCCUUCGUGAACUUCCUGAACUAUUCUUCGAGCUUCGGCUGACUCCAUGCAUCUCAAAAGCACUUGAUCCCUACUUCUCUUGUAUAAGAUGUCCCCAUCCAAGAAGAAAUUCAUUGCCAACCUUCGAAUGAUUUUCUUAUCAUUUUUUGAGCUUUGCUCCAAAUACUGCUAGAACUUGAGAUAAUGCACAAUAUCAUGGUAUCACGGUUUCCCGUCUACUUCUCCCUCUACACUAGAGCAGUGUGCGGGGCACUUUCGAAGAUUAAUCAUGAUGGGUUGAAUCUUGACAUCAGUACCAACUUUGAACAUUGCUGCCAGCGUGGCUAAUGCAUCCGUCAUUUGGUUCUCCUUUCGGGCCAAAUGGGUGAAGCGAAUCUUAUCAAAAUUUUUAAUCAACUUUGAAACAUACUUAUGAUACCGGACUAACUUCGAGUCGCGUGUCUCUCAUUCUCCUCGCAACUGAUAAAUGACCAAAGCAGAAUCCCCAUACACUUCCAAAACGUGAAUUUUCCUCUCGAUUGCUGCCUGAAGACCCAUGACACAAGUUUCAUAUUCGACCACAUUAUUAGUGUAAUAGAAGUUGAGUUUAGCUAUGACAGGAUAAUGAUCUCCUUCUAGUGACACUAACACGACCCCUAUGCCAUGCCCUAAGGCAUUCGAAGCUCCGUCGAAAAACAUAUUCCAAUUAUCUUUCUCCUCUGAUUCUUCCUUAUUUGUUUGACAAACUGACAUCAAGUCCUCAUUUGGGAACUCAAACUCCAUCGGUUCAUAUUCAUAUUUGGGACACGUAUACAAUAUCAUAUUCAGACAACAACACUUACCAUCUUGCCACUCUACCUGAUAAGGAUGGUUUCUCGAAGAUGUAUUUAAUAGGGUCCAACUUUGCAAUGAGCCAAGUGGUAUGAUAUAGCAUGUACUGCCUGAGUCGAUACGUCGUCCAUGCUAAAGCACAACACAUCUUUUCCAACGAAGAAUACUUGGAUUCGUACUCAGUGAACUUUUUACUCAAGUAAUAAAUUGCCCUUUCUUUCUUACCAGUUUCAUCAUGUUGUCCGAACACACAUUCCAUGGAUCGUUCAUUUACUGUCAGGUACAAAAAGAGGGGUUUCCCGACUAUAGGUGACACCAACACUGGCGGACUUAAUAGAUAUUCUUUAACCUUGUCAAAAGCAACUUGGAACUCCUCGUUCCAUGCCCCAGGAUUGUGUUUGCGAAGGAGCUUGAAGAUCGGGUCACAUUUGAGUGUGAGUUGUGAUAUGAACUGGACUAUAUAAUUCAACCUUCCCAAGAAUCCUCUAACUUCUUUCUGCGUUUUGGGAGGAGGCAAAUUACGGAUUGCUUGAACCUUAUCCGGGUCAACUUUUAUUCCUCUUUUACUGACGACGAAACCAAGUAACUUUCCUGAAGUGACUCCAAAUGUGCACUUUGUCGGAUUUAAUCUGAGCUGAAACUUUCGUAACCUCUUAAACAACCUUUCAAGAUUGGUCGCAUGGUCUUCUGUUUUGCGAGCUUUUAUAAUCAUAUCAUCCACAUACACCUCAACCUCUCUGUGCAUCAUAUCAUGGAAGAGAGUCACCAUGACCUGCUAAUAAGUUACCCCGGCAUUCUUCAAACCAAAUGGUAUUACCUUAUAACAAAAGGUCCCCCACAUAGUUAUGAAGGUAGUUUUUUCUCUAUCCUCUGGUGCCAUCUUAAUUUGGUUAUACCCUAAAAAGCCAUCCAUAAAGGAAAACAUGGAAUGGCGGGUAGUAUUGUCAACAAGGGUGUCGAUGUGGGGUAGAGGGAAAUUAUCUUUUGGGCUAGCUCUAUUCAAAUCUCGAUAGUCCACACACAUUCUCAGUUUCUCAUCUUUCUUUGACACCGGGAUAAUAUUUGCAACCCAUUCGGGGUACGUAGCUACUUCCAAGAAUCCCACAUCAAACUGCUUCUUUACCUCUUCCUUAAUUUUCAAAAGCAUUUCAGGUUUCAUUCUUCUCAACUUUUGCUUAAUUGGUUUGUAUUCGGGUUUCAAAGGCAGUUUAUGGGCUACAAUGUCUGUAUUGAGUCCUGGCAUAUCUUGAUAGGACCAUGCAAACACAUUUACAUGUUCAUGGAGUAGCUUUAUUAGCUUUUCUUUUUCGCUAGGCACCAACGCCGUACCAAUUCUAACUUCUUUCUUAUUUUCUUCAUUUCCUAAAUUAAUUGUUUCAAGUGUCUCUUGAUGUGGGACAAUUUGUCUCCCCCCUUGUUCUACUAGUCUUAACAAGUCCGGAGUUAAAUCAUAAUCCUUCACGUUUUUUGUAUUGUCAAGUUCGCUGACACUUAUACCUUUUUCAAAAUUAACCUCAAAACCAUUGUCAUUAUCAUCUUCGCAUUUAUUAUUUGGAAUCCUGAAAGGUAAAGGAAAUUGAAAUAUGUAGAGUUAUUGUAUAGAUAAACAGUUAAAAUAAGGGAUGAGAUGACAAGAAUGGAAAUGGUGAAUCAUGAAAGGAGAUAUGAGAAAUGCACUACGUAUGUCAAUUUAUUAGAAUGAUAAAUGAUAAAAAGCCCGAUACAUAAAAUUUCCAAUGCUCUUGGGCAUAAGCACGGAUGUUUAGUUUGCAUUACUUUGAAAUUGAAUCACAAGUGACUGGUAAACUCAUGGUGGUCCAGCUGCUCAACUUCAACUUUGGUGGCCCGAGGUAUGUAGUAGGAAUCCCAUCCAUAUUUCCUGGCUGCUCUUCACUUUCCUCCGUUGUGCAUAUUGAUAAAUCAGAAAAGGCUUCCCCUACUGCUGAUAUUGAUUCUCCGCUCCCAACAGUGAGUGAUUCAGGAAAGAUGUAGCCUCCGGACCGAAAUGUCUCGUAGAAAUGAGGAUAUAUCAUUCUAUGAUUUUUCAACCUGUGUCCCUUAAAGCGAGCCAACCUUUCCCUUCUUCUUUUGGCUAUCAUUUCCUCUCUUUCCUUCUUAGUCGGCUUGUACCCCAGGCCAAACCUUUCUUUAGUUUUGGUAGCACGUAUAGGCCUUCUAAUGCCUUGCAGUUCUUUUCCCAGUCUUACCCCCACUUGGUAUCCUUUCCCUACUAUCGACUAACAACCAUCUAGGUGGUUUUGGAAAGCCUCGAAACCGGUGGUGCGAUUCCUUCUCCAACGUAUGUGGUGUUAACGAACUCAAAGGAUCGGAACGAGCAUUUAGGUACUUCUUCUGCCGCUUCCACGUAAGGAGUAUCUGCUGGCUUGCUUAUGAGUAAGCCCUUCUCCCCGUUAACACAUACAAUCUUCCCGUCCACGAUGAACUUGACCUUUUGGUGAAGCGAUGAAGGUAUGGCCCCAACCAAGUGGAUCCAAGGUCUUCCCAACAAAUAAUUGUAUGAAGGAGCGAUAUCCAUAACCUGAAAUUCAAUGGUAAAGGUACACGGGCCGAUUUCCACCAGUAUCUCAAUGUCCCCUACUACUUCUCUCCUUGUCCCAUCAAAGGCUCUCACAAUCAUCUGGCUCUUUCUCAUGUAAGACAUGUCGAUGGGUCAGCGGAUCAAGGUCCUCAUAGGCAUCACAUUCAAUGACGAUCCAUUAUUAAGCAACACUUUUGCGACAGUACAGCCUUUACACUUGGUAGUGAUAUGCAAGGCUUUAUAGUUUCCCCUACCUCGAGAAGGGAUUUUUCAUCUCUAAAGGAUAUUAUGUUACCCACUGAAAUGUUCCCAACGAUGUAGUCCAAAUUUUCAACUGAGAUAUCGUGAUCCACAUAUGUUUGGUUCAUAAUCCUCAUCAAAGAGUUCCUAUGUGGUUCCGAGCUGAGGAGCAAAGAUAGUAGUGAAAUACGAGCAGGCAACCUGUUCAAUUGCUCGACCACAUUGUACUCACUAUGUUUAAUGAACUUGAGGAACUCAGCAGCUUCUUUUUUCGUCACCGACCCCUUUGAGCCAUCUGUCAAUUCCUGAUAUUGCACUUUUUUUUCUCUCAGAUUUUGCUCUUUUUCUUUUCCCUUCUCCUUCCUGAGAUUCUCCAAUUCCUCUUGUGUACAGCAACGUCCGCUGCGGGUAAUCCCCCCAACACCAGUUAUAUUUAUAGCAUCAUCUUGAGAUUCAGCUAUCCAUUUUCCCAUAUUUGAAACUUGUACAUUGCAACUAUAGUUCUACGAGACAGCUUUGUCAUCUUUGUAGGGGAAAGGUUUAAGGACUUCGAUGGUCAUUUUGGCAUGGGUUCUGUCUUCCACAGACUCUCCUCUUGGUUCAUAGAAAAUGGUUAAAGGUUUUAUCUUCUUUGGGUGAGUGGACUCCUUGGACAUCAUGUUUACUGUUAGCUCUGAAGCUUCCACAUAAAAUUCAAUCCUUGACUCAUCCAUCAUUCUUUGCACUUCUUUUCGAAAAAAACUACAAUCCUGGAUUAAAUGCCCCAUACAUUAUUUGUGAUACAAGCAAUAUGGUCCUUGGAUAUCUCCCGAGUCAUUCACAUCAAAACAUUUCGGCCACACCUCGAGCAUAUCGGCCUUUACCAAUGCUUCAAACACCUUCUGCAUAGGGGUUUCCACUUCCCGAAUGUUCCUUUUAACAUAUACCUCCAUUUCGACUGCAUUUACCCCUACCCCAGCAUGAUUUAGCAGUGGGUUGUUGUUAAUAUUUUAUUCUGACUUUUUUUCAAAAUUCAGGAUUCUUACCUUGAUCAACCCUUGCACCUUAUGUUUGAAUGCUGUACAAUUCUCAAUUGAGUGACCUUCGAUUCCAUAAUGAUAAUCACAAUGGGCAAAAGCAUCAUACAAUCUCGAGAAUGGAGGUUUUAAUGGCUCUAUGUAUAAGGGUGCCACCAAAUGGUUUGCAACUAACUAAGUGAAGAGUUCAGCAUAUGGGAUUGGGAUUGGGUCAAACUACACCUUCUCUUGCUUGUUUCGCCAUCCUCUUGAUUCACUGGCAGUAUGGUUGUUUAAAGGUGUUGUUUGUUGUGUGGUUGAAGCUACAACAGGUGUGGAAGUAGGUGGGUGGAUAUUUGUGGGGUAAGAUGUCUGUUGGAUGGGAGCAUAUAGGUAUAGGUUAGAAAAGGUAUUUGGCAUGGGUGGAUAUAGGUAUGGACUUUGUGAAGUGUUAUUCAUAGUGGGUAAUAGGGAUAUGGUGGAUAUGGUUGAUAAAGGUUGUAGCUUCCUCUUUGGGGUUGUCCCGAAGUGAUGGCUUGGGUUUCUCUUUCUCUCUUCUUAAAAGUUUUGCCUUUCUUCGUGUGUGUCGCAUCACAUCCUUUUAUCUUUCCUUGCUUAACGGCAGUCUCUAUCAUUUCUCCUGAGAUCACCAUAUCAGCGAAAUUCUUUGUGACACUACCGACCAAUCGUUCAUAAUAAGGGGCUCGCAGGGUGUUAACGAACAUCACGGUGGUCUCUUUCUUAGUCAAUGAUGGUUGAACUUGAGAAGCCAUAUUCUUCCAUCUUUAAGCAUAUUCUUUGAAGCUUUCAGUGGGUUUCUUUUCCAUGUUUUGUAAAGAAAGGCGAUCCGAAGCCAUAUCUGUAACAUGUUUAUAUUGAGCUACAAACGCCCGAGCAAGGUCCUUCCAUGUGUGGAUUCGAUUGCGGUCCAGUUGAACGUACCACUUUGCUACAGCACUAGUGAGGCUAUCUUGGAAGCAAUGUAUCAAAAGCUUAUCAUCAUGGGCAUAUGUGGCCAUCCUUCUGCAAUACAUGGUGAUAUGCGUGACUAGGCACUUGGUUCCAUCAUACUUUUCAAAGUCUGAAACUUUGAAUUUCGAGGGUAUAACCACAUUUGGAAUGAGACAGAGUUCGAUUGCAUCCAUAGAGCAAUACAUUCCCAUUCCUUCUAUCAUGCGUAGUCUCUCCGCCAAAAGGUUAAAUUUUUGGUGGGUAUCGGGAUUGUCCUUAGAUUCAACGGAUCCACACUUGAGCUUCUUUUGUUCCUUCGGAUCGUCCAGAUCAGGUACAGAGAUGGGGUCUAAAGGAUUUGCCCCUCUAAUUGACCUCUGUUGGGCAUAAAUCGGUGGUGGCCCUAUAGGCACUGGCAUCCCAAAAAAUGGAUAUUGACCCAUCGAUGGCAUGGGGAUAGAUGCAUUCCUUGCUGGUGGUGGUGUGAAUCUUGGUGGAUAUAUGGGGUCUGUAUUGGCUUCUGUCUAUUGAACAUCUUCUGUCACACCAGAACUUCUCUCCACUCUCUUCCCUUUAUCUGUCGACAUCAACUCCAAAAUCUUUGACAACUGACCCAUAAUCUCUUCGUGCUUCUUCUCGAUCUUGUCCAUUCUCUCCAAGUGUUCGUAUCCCAUGAUCUUAGAGCGAGCUCUUGUGUUGUAUUUGUGUAGGGUUUGUUUCUCUGGAAUUUUGUUCUUUUACGGGUCAAAUGGAUAAGUUAGAAUUUUAUGUUGAUGAAUGCAUUGUCAUUUGUUAUUAUUUAUAUGAAUCAUGCAACUAUGAUGCAAGUGAAAUGUAUUGAAAAGAAAAAUAGGAAAAAUAUUGGCCAUCCAACAUUUACCAUAAGAAAAUCCACAUCCAUAAAACUGAAAUAUCCGAAUAUAUCUUUGUCUAAAAUCAUUACAUAACUACCAAAAGGAAAAACCAACUUUGUCAUAUUGGUCCCUAACCAUCAUGAGGUGAUCGAUCAACCGCUCACUCAAUUCAUCCCUCGGAAGAAUCUCUCGCCUGAGUUCUUCGAUCUUGUCUGCCAUUACUCGCGCUUUAAAUGCCACUUCUCUCAUCUGUCUCAGUAUCCAUCGCAUUUCAGUUUCUUUCCUUUGAAGGCUUUAUGUGCACGAAUCAUUUCUUUCCCUCAUUUGGAAAUACUCUUGCCUUAUUGCUUCAUACUAUGCCUUAUAGCCCUCCAUGGCAGUUUCCAACAAGCCGCGGUCAUUUCUCAACUCUUGGAUAGUUUGUUUUUGUCUUCGUACCUCGUGUUGCAAAGCAUUGUUGACACUUUGGAGUUCUUGCAUUCUGGCUAUCAGAGAAGAAUUUGUCACGUUCACUUCCUCAAACUUGCUUUGCCACUCAUCCCGCUCUUCCAAAGCCAUUCGUACCUUUCUUGUCAUUUCUUUCUUCACUUCUUCUAGUUCAUCCUCAUGUCUCCGCUUCAUAUUCAUCAUCUCCUUUUCAAGUUUUUUUCUUGUCAACUCGCUUUCUAGUAUGACAUCUUGAGGUUCUAGGUUUAUGGGAUGUUUUGAUGGAUUUUUCGGGGGGCAUACGACAUCUUUCACCCUUUGGUCGUGCCAAGUAUGAUAUCUUGUGGUGACUUCAUCGGUAACCCUCCCUUGAUCCACUCGACACGUUUUCUUCCAGUCUUGUGCAAUUUUCUCAAUUUUCUUUAGCGUUCUCGGCUCUCCAUAUGUAAACUCUAACUGGUUGAGUUGGUGAGUCAUGGGCACGAAUUGCUCAGAUCUGAACUGUCUCCGUACCAUAAUCGGUGCAUAGUUAAUGGCUCCUCAUGGUCCCAUCAGUGGCACCCACGACUUGUCUCCACAUUUAUACAUCACUUACAUUCGCGGCAUCCAUGGAGCUCUCCAAGUUACUUCCACGCUCAUUAACCUCCGGAGAUUCGUGACCCACUCUUCUUUCCUCUUGCAGUCGGGCCAUACACUUUCACAGAACUCAAGAAUAGGGCAACUUACAAACAGAUAAGGCUUCUGAAAUUUGCUCUCUUUACAUUCGAAAUGGCUUUUGACCAUAUAGUUAAGAGUUGGGCACAUCCAAUGAAUCGUCCCUCGCCUUUGCGCCGAUAAAAAUUCAAGGAUCUGAAGGUUUCAGCUAAGAUGGAUGGGGUCUGGUUGAUGCUCCUCUCACCUGAUCAAAGAAGUCUAUGACUGACAUCUCCACAUGACCUAAAACCUUCGGGAAGACCACUAAGCUAUAGAUUGUCAUCGCAAAAGCUAGGAGACCUUGUUCAUCCUCCAUGUGUUUUUUAAUAUAUCCGUUCAAGAAACUCCACGGAAGGCAUUCUGUGUCUCCUUUCUUCUUCAAAUGUUGAUCUACUUCUACAGUAGUCAUCCCUAACAACUUGGCCAACUUUCGCCGGUGUCUCGUCUUCAGAGCCCUCCAAUAGAUCUUGUCAAGCUGCAUGUGAUCUAUCCGGAGCAAAGAGGAGUACUUUUCUAUGGUAGGGGUCAUGUCCACCUUGUUAAAGACAAAGCAACGGUAUGAGGGAUCCUAAAACUGGACGAUGGCACGGAGCAUCUGGUCAUCAACAGGUACAUAUAGAAGCCAUGCAAUGUGUCCAUACUUGCUCUGAAAAUUGUCUCGGUGAGCACGUCUCCACUAUUCCCAAAUUCCUAUCAUCUCUGUGAAGUCAUUCUGCUGAAGGUCCAAGUGAACUCUCUCGGGUAAAGUUGGGAUAUGUCCUUGGGUCAAACAGUCUCCUUUUUCUUGUUGAAUCUGCCCCAUCUAUAACUCUAUCUCAUUGUCAUUUCUGUAUAUGUUGAAUGGAACUGUUGAUGACGAUGCCAUGGAUGUAACCGGGAUCUCUUAGGUUGGAUGUUGUGUAGCCAAUAUUUCUCCUAUAUGCAAUUAUGAUGCAUGCAAAUGAACAUGUAACAUGCACACGACAAGCAAAAUAAACUUAAGUUAGUAUGGUAAAAAGAAAGAAUAUAGUGUUAAAAAUAAUGAGAGAAUAAUAAGCAAUAUCAUGGGUAUUACUGUCUACUCCACGAUACUUUAUUAUCUCGUGGCAAAAUUUAAAAUAGAGGAAGUGGAAGCAACUCCUUCACGUGUACCUAUUUAUAGGGUAUACUCUCACAGGUAUGGCCCUACCUAGAAUUAAGCUACUCUCGGUAUUCUAUAUGCUGAGCGUGGUUUAUAAACAGAGCUAAGGCUCCCAAAUCGUUCCUCACUAUCGUCCACGUGGACUAGUAAGGCACUCCAGUCCUCACCCAUUACAAGCUUCAAGCGGACUAGGUUCGAUCUGAGUGGGAGUUUUCACUAGCUCGUGCGGAGGUUAUCACCUCACGAGAGCGUAGCUACUGAACUCCCUCCUAAAAAGGACAUAACCCGAGUGGAGGGUUUAUGCGUGAAUGCAAAAAUGUGCUGUGUGUGUGAAGGAAAACAUCGAAUUCGGAGUAACAUUCUCACAUCCCUCUAUCUUAAACCCCCACAAUUAUUAAAAGCAAUAAAGUAGCAAAUGCAAAAUAAACAAAUGCACUAAACAAAAUAUGCAGAACAAAUCAUCAACACUAAGGAAACAUCGAAUUAUUUGAAGCCUUGGAUAACCUAUUAUUAUUUAAUGGUUCGACUCUCGGAAGUCCCUAGUGGAGUCGCCAGCUGUCGUAACGUGCGGGUCCGGGAACCCGACCGCCAGACGCGAGGUGAAAACUCUUAAAAAAACUAAAAAUUAGGAGUCGCCACCAAUCUUUUUACUAGGUGCAAUUGGCCACCUAUUAACUCGAUUCUAAUCAAUGAAGCCUUAAAUUAAUUUUAAGCCCACCGGAAAAAAUCUUAAACUGGUCUACAUUUUUCCAGAUCUAAGUUCGGGAGUACGGUUACGCUCGGGAAAGGAUUAGCACCCCCGAGACGCCCGUUCCAUGAAUGGUACCAUUUUUAGAUUAUCCUAUUAGACUUUUAUUAUAUUUCCUUAGUUAUGAUUCUCUUAUUUUAUCCCUUAUUUAUCCUAAAAAGGAAUGCAAAUGUGAAGUAAGAUGAAAUGCAUGGCGUGAGAUAAAAAUGUCGGACGAAUAACCUUUUAUUAAAUAUAUUUUCUCGAAUCCGCCCAUCAUACUGGUGGGACUCGGGGUAUUCUCUCACCUAGGAAAUUAUCCGAGAAACUCGCCUUCGCAAAUUCGACGAAUAAUUCUCGUCAUCAGGGUCAUCGUACAUUUUCAUUUUAAAAUAAUAUUUUUGUGCAUAAUGAACCUAAUUCGGGCAAAAACCUUUUAUUAAAGAUGCUUCUCGAGCCCUCCCAUCAUACUGGUGGGACCCGAAGACAUCUUUUCACCUAAAAAACUUUUCGAGAAAUACCCACCUUCGCAAGAUCCUCAGAAGAUCCCAUCAUCGAGGUUUAAACUCGAAAACAGAAAUAUUUAUAUGCAAUGAUAUGCAUGAUGCAAUAUAUAUGUGCAUACUAUGCUAAUGCAAUUGUCCAUUUUUUAUUAUUAAUUAUUAUUUUUAUUUUAUUUUAUUUUUUAUUAUCAUAUUUUCUAUUUCAUUUCUAAUUAUUAUUUUUUAUACUUUACAUUUUUUAUUUUAAGUUACUCUUAUAUUUCCUUUUAUAAUUAGAUAAAUUGUUUAUGAUUCCAUGUUACUUUAAUGACAAAAAUUUUACAUUAUUUUAUUUUAUUNNNNNNNNNNNNNNNNNNNNNNNNNNNNNNNNNNNNNNNNNNNNNNNNNNNNNNNNNNNNNNNNNNNNNNNNNNNNNNNNNNNNNNNNNNNNNNNNNNNNNNNNNNNNNNNNNNNNNNNNNNNNNNNNNNNNNNNNNNNNNNNNNNNNNNNNNNNNNNNNNNNNNNNNNNNNNNNNNNNNNNNNNNNNNNNNNNNNNNNNNNNNNNNNNNNNNNNNNNNNNNNNNNNNNNNNNNNNNNNNNNNNNNNNNNNNNNNNNNNNNNNNNNNNNNNNNNNNNNNNNNNNNNNNNNNNNNNNNNNNNNNNNNNNNNNNNNNNNNNNNNNNNNNNNNNNNNNNNNNNNNNNNNNNNNNNNNNNNNNNNNNNNNNNNNNNNNNNNNNNNNNNNNNNNNNNNNNNNNNNNNNNNNNNNNNNNNNNNNNNNNNNNNNNNNNNNNNNNNNNNNNNNNNNNNNNNNNNNNNNNNNNNNNNNNNNNNNNNNNNNNNNNNNNNNNNNNNNNNNNNNNNNNNNNNNNNNNNNNNNNNNNNNNNNNNNNNNNNNNNNNNNNNNNNNNNNNNNNNNNNNNNNNNNNNNNNNNNNNNNNNNNNNNNNNNNNNNNNNNNNNNNNNNNNNNNNNNNNNNNNNNNNNNNNNNNNNNNNNNNNNNNNNNNNNNNNNNNNNNNNNNNNNNNNNNNNNNNNNNNNNNNNNNNNNNNNNNNNNNNNNNNNNNNNNNNNNNNNNNNNNNNNNNNNNNNNNNNNNNNNNNNNNNNNNNNNNNNNNNNNNNNNNNNNNNNNNNNNNNNNNNNNNNNNNNNNNNNNNNNNNNNNNNNNNNNNNNNNNNNNNNNNNNNNNUUUUUCGCGUCUGGCAGGGUGAGGGAGGUGCCUGGCAGGGUGCGUCCGCACCCUGCUAGUUGUACCUCACUCCUCUCUUUUUUCAUUUCUUCUUUACUCUCUCUAGAAACAAAUCUCUCUACCUUCUCUCUAAGAUCUCACCAGCUAAAUGGCGGCAACCCAAGCACCAAAUCCAGCACCGGCUUUUCUUUCUCCCUCUACCCAGGUUAACCAACGGCAACUCAAGCACCAGAUCCAGCGCCGGUAGGGCUUCCUCUCUCUCACUCUUCUCCUCUCUACCCACGCUAACCGGUGGCAACCCAAGCACCAGAUCCAGCGCCGGCUUCUCUCUCCUCCUCUCUCUCUCUCGCUCUCUCUCUACCCACGUUAACCGACGGCAACCCAAGCACCAGAUCCAGCAUCGGUCGGGCUUCCUCUCUCUCACUCUUCUCCUGUCGACGCAAACCCGAGCCCUUUUUCACUCUCUCUCUCUCUACUGAUCCGCUUUCCCCUUCUCUCAUUAUGCAUUUUUUGAUUUUUUUGGUAUCUCUUUUUGAUGUAUCUUUCUUGGUUUUUUUUUUUUUUUUGUGGAUUAUUGUGGCUGCUAGAGACUUACGAAUUUUUUGUUGUGCUUGUUUUCUUUGGCUUGCAGGAUACCCCCCUCGAUUGUUAUAGUGCCCUCUCUCCUUUAUACCCGGUUCUUGCCCUCUGGAGGGGGCAUGUUCCACUACCUUGCCAAACGCGAAUUUUUCACAUCUGGCAGGGUGCGUCCACACCCUGCCAGGCGUACCUCUCUCCACCCUUUUUUUUCUUUUUUCAUUUUUUCUUUAUUAUUUUUGUGUCACUUUCAUUUGUUUUUUGUUUAUGAUUUUUAUUUAAUAAAAUUAUAAUUUUUAUAGUAUCUACACAACCUAUCCAAGUGUUUUGUUUUUUGGACUUUAGGUAUGGUCUUGCUAUCUCUAUUCGAUGCUGGGUGUCCCUUGAUGUAGGGUGCGAGUGGAAGUGAUUUCUCUAGAGUUGUUUCUUGGGUUUUUUGUUUUUAGCUCUUGGAUUGGUUGAUUGGCUUUGACUGGUUAUGUUACUUUGUUUGGAUGGCGGUGUGGGGUGCCUUCAGGGUGACGCUGUCGCUGUAGUUUGUCUUUGAUUUUUAGGUGAUACUUUUGGGUCUAUUUGCUAUUGGCCGGUUACUGUUUUUAUUUGAAUUAGAUGUCAGUUCCAUGUUUGUCUCUAAUGUGCAUGUGAGGAUUUUUCUAUGAUGCUAGGGGAUUUGUCUCUGUUUUGCUCAACUAGAUUUACUGAGUUGUUGAGUUGUUCUUAUGUGUAGUCGUGCCCCUUGUAAAUUGCUUUGUUUUUGUAUAGCCUUAUGUGGUGUGUCCCCUGCUUUUUACUUCCAGGGUUAUACACAGUCUCUGUCUUUUUUGAUGAAGGGUUGCCUUUGUUUGGGCUGUUAUGUGGGCAAGACUUUUGUGACAACAACCCAAAAUUUGGGUUCUUUCUUAUACAGUUUCAGUGAUCUUUUUAUCCCUUUUAUUCAAUGAAUCUUAUAACUUUCAAAAAACAAUUAUCAAGAAUAAGUUUGUUAUGAUUUAGCAAUGCCCUCUUAAAGGGUGGUUAAAAUUUAAUAUUGGUGGUGCCGCUCAAGGGUGUCCAAGGGAAGCGUGGAUUGGUUGAAUUUUACGUAAUGAGUGGGGUAAUGUGUUUAUUUGGUUUUCAAAGUCUAUUGGUGUUUGUGAUUCUAAUUUGGCUGAGUUAUGUGCUCUUAAAAAGGCUAUGUGUAUUUUCAUUACAUCUAGAUGGUUUAAUUUUGGUAGAAUUAUUUUUGAAAGUGAUUCUUCAAAUGUUAUAAAAUGAGUGUUUGAUCCUUGUUCAACUUCGAAGACGUUUAGGUUCCAUAUUUUAGCAAUUGAGAAGUUUAAAAUUCAAAUUAAAAAUGUGAUGUUCAAACAUGCACUAAGAAGUGCUAAUGGUGAUGCUAAUCUUUUGGCCAAACAGGGUCUGUACACACAAAUUUUGCAUUGAGAAGUUUAGACUUGAGAUAUUUGGAGACAAAUAUGAAAUUUGUUUAUAUAUUAGACAUGAGUUCACAAUCUCUUGUAAUCUUUUACAAUAAAGAAUUGCCUUUGAUUAAUUUCUUCAAUCUUCACUUCAAGGUUCACGAUGACUUGAUAGUGAACUUCCUACUUUGUUUCAAGGGUCUUGCGACUUGAUCUUGAACUUGGUAUUUUGAUUCAAAGGUCUUCGCUUCAAGGUAUUUUAUGACUUGAUCUUGAACUUCGCUUCAAGGGUCUUGAUGACUUGAACGAUUCAAGAGUCUUGAUGACUUGAUCUUGAACUUCGCUUCAAUGAACAAUAUGGAGACUUUGCUUUAAAGGUCUUGAUGACUUGAUCCAAACAAUUUGGAGACUAUGCUUCAAGGGUGGCGCAUUGUAUUUAUAGCACUAGAUGAGAGACUUUCAUGAGAAUUUUGUCUCCUUGAAUUUAUCUCUAAAUUAUUUUAAUUUCAUUAGAGAUAAAUGAUCUUUUGAUUGGCCAAACUUUGAGUCUUUGAGUUUUGAUUGGUCAAAUUUGAGUAUUACCUCUAAAUUAUCUUAAUUUAUUUAGAGAUAAAUUGGAUGACCAAAUAUGGAUUUUAUCUCUUAAAUUAUCUUAAUUUAUUUAGAAAUAAAUUGGAUAACCAAUAAGUAAAUUUUAAUUGGUCAAAUUUAAAUAUUAUCUCUAAAUUAUCUUGAUUUAUUUAGAGAUAACAUGGACAACCAAUGGAUGAAUUUUUGUUGAUCCAAUUAAUAUAUUAUCUCAAAAGAUAAAUACAUUACACAUAAAAAAAUUUUAAUUGGUCCAACUAUGUGUCUUCGGGAUAAUUAGCCAAUAAAUUAAUUUAUGACUAUCUUAAUUGAUGUUUUCAAAUUCACAUGACGACACAUGAUUUGUUUUUACAAAUUUUCUUCAAUUUACCAAUUUUGGACAUGUGACAUCUUGUAAUUUGAUAACAAUUUUUCUCCUUCUACAAGGUGUUCGAAGGAAGCAAGAAUUGUUGUUCAUUCAUUGUAUGGGUGGUGAUCAAAAUUUUGAUGAGUUUAAUCCAAAGUUGUUGGGGAAUGUCGGCACAGAAUGAGGGGUCUGCUUUUGGCUGAUGUUGUGAAAAGAUAAUUAAAGUUAUGCGUUUCUGACUUGGGUUUUUUUUCCGUGGGUUGCUGAGGUUGAUUUGGCCAGGUAUUGUUUGUUGAAGGGGAUCCUAUUUUGUGUUCUUUAUUUGACAUCUUGAUUCUAGCUCAGUAUUGGCCUGGUGGAUUUUGUCGAGAUUUUUUUUUUUUUUUUGGUUGUUGUAUUUAUCUGAUUAUUUAGUACCUUGUGUUUUGUUGUUUUGGUGAGAUUGGGUUUCCUUGUGAUUGUCUCUUAAUUUUGGGUUAUUAUGUUACUUUUUGGAUAUAGUAACUGAAAUUCAUGAUGUGAUUUAUGUUGUACAAUCCUGAGGAAUGUUUUAUUCCUUGAUGAUAAAUGAAAUUUUAUCUUAUCCUUAAAAAAAAAAACUUUUAGUCUUAUAAGUAACUUUUUUUAAAGGGCAUGUUAUAAGUAACUUAACAUUAUAAUUAAAAUAUAAAAUCUAUUUUCUUUGCUCUUAUAUUUCUAAUUUUUAUAUAACUUUGAUCUAUUUCUAUUUUUCCUCUAUUUUCAUUCUUUUCAAAUAAUAAAUAAUUAAUUACGAAUAAAUUGAAAAAAAAUUUUAAAAACAAAAAAUAAUCCAUGAACUAGAAAAAUAAUUAAAAAUAAAGCUAAUUGAAUACCUACUCUUUAAAUAUAUAAUUGCUUGAUUUCACAUUCAGUAGAUGCUAUAUAUUAUUGACCUUGUAUAUCAUAACUUUAAUUCAUAAUGAAUCACUGACAAUAAUUAAUGUCAUAAAAAUAAAACUUAAAUACUAAUCAAUCAAUUCAUUAAUAGUUUUUUUUUAGGAAAACCUGUUAAUAUUUUAUAUAAAAUAUUUUUAAAUUAAUAAAUGACUUUUAAUUUGCUUUUUUUUGUCUUUUUAUAUUAAUGGUUUUAAAAAUACUAUUUUAAUUACAUUAAAAAAUUAGAUAUAUAUCACAAUAAAAAAACAUGACUUUGAAUAACUUAAUUAAAAUCGAUAAAAUUUGACACAAUUGAUCCAUCUGAAACCAAACUGAUUUAACUUUAAAAGUUUUUAACUUAAACUCAAAAACAACUCGAGUGUCAAACUUGAAUAACCUGAUUCUGAAAUUAUUCAAACUCAAAAAUAACUCGAAUUUCUUUUGAGUAGAAAUAACUUGACCCAACCCGCCUUAUCACCACUAUUAACUAAAAUUAAUUCCUUAAUUUUUUUUCUUAUUAAUUUUACUUUCUUCGACUUUCUAAUUGUAAAUUAAAAAUAAUUAUUAGCUAAAGAUGAAUGAAAAAAACUAGAAUCAUAAUUUUUUUUCGUUGUUUUUCAUCACUAUUUUCUUCAAAGUUUUGAAAUGUUAAAGUAUAAAAAAGGGAAGCUCUUUGAAUACUCCAGUGAUUCUUGGAUCUAUGGUGAGAACUGAGCACAGAGCACCUCCAGGUCGACAAGGCCCCGACGCCGUUCACAUCAACAACCUCCCACCCCGAAUCACCACUAAAUGGCUCACCGACAUCUACAGGCAUCAUGGCACCAUGGUCAGGCGAUUAAUGCCUACAUCCCUCCCACCCAACUGACUAGGGGUAAGAAAUACGGCUUUUACGCAUUUUCUCCAUGGUUGAAACUUUGAACAGAAUCAAGGGCCUUGAUGGUGUGGUUCUUCGACCAAAGGCUUGCUAUCUCUUAAUUGAGCUAAUAACAAUCAUUGCUCAUGUAGAUUCGACUCAAAACUGGUAUAUAAGCGUUCAUUGAAUCUUUUCUCCAAUUGUUUUUUUGCUCUGUUAAUGAAUUUAUUUAUUAUAUAUGAUUAUAUAUGAUCACAAAGGAUCUUGAGAGCACUUCAACACUAGAAACCGAGAAGGUACAGUGGCAUAGUGCAUACACACCAAGGACACCAUACAACAGAUUAAAAAAGAUUUGUCAUCAACAUACAACCACAUGAAAAUAAAUCAAUAGCAAAACAAAUAUGGCCCUGCAAUCCAUAUAAAACAAUCAGCACCGAGCCUAAUGGAGUUGCUGUUGGAGCAUCCAUGGAGCAUCCAUGCAAGUGCACAUAUUCUAAAUGAGUAAUAUAGUGAUGAAGUAGAGUAUCGUUCUCAUAGAACCAUUUUAAUUUCUAUUAUUAACUAUUAAAAUUAACAUACCCUAAUCUUAUUCAAACAACCAAAUUAAAACUAUUAAAAAGCAAAAAUUAAAUUUAACAAACUAAAAAUAAAAAAAAAUCUAAAUUUAAUCAGCAAAUUUGUUUUAAAAAAACUCAAUUAACAACUAGACGUAAGAUUAUGAUAUUCCUCAAUACUACAUCUAAAUAUUGUCUCUCUCUUAACGUAGUAUAAUAGAUUAGGUUACUAACCUAUAGUCCUAAAUUAUUUACAAAGUCUCUGUCGAGUUUCUCAUAAAAAUAAAUCUCUCAAUUAACUUACUAUAUGUCUAUGUAAAUUAAAUUGAAGAAAGAUUCAUUAAGUUCAUACUCUAAUCUUAGUUAUAUAUGGCUUAUAAAUAUAUGUUUACUUUAUAUGCAAAUCAAACCACCUAAUCAACUAAGUACAUUCGAUCAUACAUUAUCCUAUUCAAAGUUUACUUUAAAUCUCCUUUGUCAAUAUUUAGCUUAGUUUCCAAUUCAAUUUAAUUGGUAACUAGAUAAUUAGAAAUAUUAAAAAUAGAAUAGAAUAAACAACUUAAAACCAUUAAAUAUAAGCAAAAGAGUGAUAAACAAUUCAGACUACGUAUUAAGUAAUAUCACAAAUAAUCAUCAAAUAAAAUUUAAACAUUGAAACUGAACCAAGAAAAAAAAAACAAAAGAUAAAAGAAACUUCAAGAGUUGAAAUCUUGUUCUUCAAAUAUUUUUGAAUCCUUUAAUUUCUUCUUAGCUCCAAUGAGACUUUUUCUUCAAUGAUUUUGUGGUUGAAUCUUAGCUCUAAAUCUUGUGUUCUUUUUCGUGCCUCUAAAAGUCUUCUGAAAGUUUGUGUCAAGAAAGAAGUCCUAUCUAACAAGGAUUUCUUCACUAUACUAGGUAAGCUACGGCCUACCUUCACCAAGGCCGCAACCUCACUUCCUCUGUUUUGGACUGCUGCAGUGCUUCAGUUUUGAUAAAGUUUUUGACCACUUUUUAAAUUGAACUGAGAGAAGUGGUAAACAUGAAAGUUGUAAAUUUUCUUUUAACUUUUCAAUGGUUUAAUAAUCACAUCAUUUAUAAUUUUGUAGAAAGAGUUAUAAUCAAAAUACCGAAACAUAAUGAAUAGAGUUCACUUUAAAACAUCCAAAACUUAUCCAGCAAAUACUUAAUCCACAGCCACAGCCAUAAGAACAGGUAUAGACGUUGAAAGAAAACAUGCCUUAAUACAUCACACGUCUUCAACAAGAGUUGUAUCGCAUACCAGCACCAAAAACCAAUGAUUGGAAAAGUAAAUCAUUUCUCCAAUUAAAUUAUGUUUGAAGUUUCAAUGAUUUAUUAUUGUUUAUUUUUAGUAGAUUCAAUGAAAUUUUCAAACAAAUACAUCUAAAAGACCAGAACCAAGAAAAAAGAAUGUACUACAUAAAAUAAACUUUGAAAACUUAAAAUGGACUUACAAACAUAUUCACCAACUUUUUUUCCGAUCCUCAAAAUUUUUUAUGGGUUUAAUGAUUUUGUUCUUUAUUUUCUAAUAGAUUAUCACAAUUUUUCUUUACGUGAGAUUAAUUGUCAUCAAUUAAGAUAAGUGAAAAUUGUUUUUAUAGAAUUUUAGAAUAGUAGUAUCUAUGUUGUGAACACAGUCGUCCUCCUAGUUUAUAAAAUCAACCAUUUUUUUCACCAAAAUCAUUCUUUUAAAAAAUUAAUUAUUGAUAGGGUUUUUAAACUCUACAAUCAUGUUUAAAGAAUUGUCAUACGUUAGUUAAGAUAUAUUAAUGAAAUUAAUAAAUUAAUUAAUAUAACAUCAUAUUUUGAGGAUUGUUUAUUAGAAGUGUCCAUAGAUCGAGCUGGAUCGGAUUGAACCCAAUUGAUAAUUUUAAAAGUUAAGCUUUAACCUCUCAAUUUGUCCAUUUAAGCUUAUUUGAAUUAGAUUUAUUAUUAAAAUAUUUUAAUAUAUUUUAAAAUUAAAAGUAAUGAAAAAUAAAAUUUUGUAUUAAUAUAAUAAUAUGUAAGGCCAAGCUUGAGCUUAAAAAUUUUAUCCAAAACCCACCUCAAGUCGGGUUUGGUCUACAAACUUGAGGGAUUGUUUGGCCCAUGGAUAGAUUCAUGUUAUUAAUUAAUAUAUAGUUGAAUGAUACAACAAGUGUAAUUCAUGUUUCCUACUCUAAAUUAAAAAACUCAGAUGUCAAAAAGAAAUUAUAUGUGAUCAUCAAGUUAUAAAUAAAGUGACAAUCAAUUCAUGGGCCCAAAUGACAAGAGAAGAACAAGCAUAGAAUAGCUCUCCAUUGAGGUUGUUUAAUUAGAUAUCAUUCUAUAUGUGCUGGUUUAGUCGAUUAUGGAAUAUACUUCAAAAGGAUCAUAUUCAUGGGACCAUCAAAUUUGCAUAUUUCCUUGUUGGGGAUCGAGACCGUCCAAGUUCAAUUCACGACCAACAAAAGAUUCAAUAAAUUCUUAUUUUUAAGAUCCUUUCAAUGGUUGUAGCAUUUUGUUUUUUACUUUAGAUUCUCUAUCAAAUUAAAUGGUGGCCUAUUCUUAAAGGCGAUUCAUUUACUUUUUUUGUGAUUUCAAUUUUUUUCACAUAACAUUUUAUGAUUUGUUUUUUUUUUAAUUAGCAUUCUGUUUCUAGUCUCAUAAAAUUAUCUUGUUAAUUUCAUAUAAUAAAAUUACAAAACAUUUUUAAUUGAAAAAUUAUCUUAUUGGUUCAGACUUUAAAACAUUUUCAUGGUUAUACUAGAUAAAAUCAUGAUAUAACCAUGGAUAUGUUGAUUACAAAAAUAAUAAAAUCACAUAACAUUACGUGAAAGAAAUUGAAAAUAAAGUCUACUUUGAAUUUGAAAAUAGGGUAAUAUCUAAUUUUUAGAAUUGGGAUAUAAACACCUAGGUACAAUAAGCAUUACGGAGCCAAAUUGUUUGGCUUCUGAUAUUGUAUCGGGUUUGACAUGUGAAAUUUAUUGCGGUACCUGCAUACUUACUUUUUAUGCAAUCAAAAGGCAUCAAACUCUGGGAGCCCCAAGGGGUCUGCUUCUUUUCAGAAAAUCCAUGGAGAUUUCUAUAAAUGCUGGCAGAUCGAACCGUAUAAAGACGCUUGACUUGUGGUAGUGGUGCAUGCACCUGCAUAGCUAUUUUUCUUUCUUUCUUUCUUUCUUUCUUUUUUCCAUUUUGGAAUCAUUUGAAAAUUUUAAAGGUAGCUGAGAAGAUAAAAAAAGAUUCUGGACGGGGAGGAUAUUCAAAGCUCUUCUUUGAUCGAGACUUUUGUGGAGCAAACAGAUGUCCUCAUUUUACAAUCUUUUCUUUUCUUGUCUUUUCUUUUAGUACAUUUAACAUUUGACUUCAACCUUUAACGUCCACAACCAAAAAUGAAUGGUAAUUCCUCCUAUCUCAUGAAUCUCUCACAAUUUUUAUUUUAAAAUUCAAAUUCCAAAGAUUUAAGGUUUUGAUGUUCUUUUUAAGAUAAAAAUUUUUGUUUUUAAUUCUACAUAUUAGGGUUUUUUUUCCUUUUAAUAUAACAACCCAAUAAUUAAAUUUUUUCUUUAAAUUAUAAUAAAGUUUAGAUUUUUAAUUUAUAAAUUUCAUAUUCAAAUAUUUAGAAAAGAUAUAAAUAUAAUGAAAUAAAAGAUGGAUGAUCACCUUUCAUUAUCAUUUUUUGGGGUAACUGAAAUUUGAAGGUCGAUAAAUUGUUGAGAUAUAUUAUGAAUUCAAAAGAUUAGGUCAAUAAAGAGCCGUUGGUAAGACUUAAAUCUAGUUCCGACUCACUAUUAAUAUAAACAAAUUUAUCAAUUGAAUACAACGCCUUGUCCAUUUUACCUUUCGUUACGUAAUCCAAGUAUGAAAUGAGAAUUUUUUUAUUUUUUUUACAAUGCAAACCAGAGUCAGACAAAUAAAAGCAAUAUUAAAGUAGGCUAAUAUUGUUAAAACGUUUACCCAAAAAAAGAUGAAAUUUGCUUGUUUUAUAUAUAUAUAUAUAUAUAUAUAUAUAUAUAUAUAUAUAUAUAUAUACUCAGNAAUGAACUGAAACAAGAUGAAAAAGAAAACCGAGCCACAAGUAGACAGACAAAGCCCCUGUCAACAGCAACAAAGAGUAAACAAGAGAUGUCCUUAAACAAGGCAGGGAGCAAAUUAGAAUAGCAGAAGCAAAGUAUAUGGGGUUACAAAACUAAAAAAUUAAAUUAAAUAACAUUCAUUCUCCCAUAAAGUUUCAUCCAAAAUUACCUUUGAUCAGUCAUCGGCCUCUCUAUUUUUUGAACGUGCAAACUUUUCCUCGGUUUUUCUAUUUCCUUUCCAGUCCAUUCCCCGUAAGAAAAGCAACCAUUUUUGGUUUUUAUCUGUUCACGUGAAUGCACUUGUCCCUUCUCAUUCUUGUUUCCUUUUCUUUGCAAAUGUUCCCAAUUUUGGCUGCUAUCGAUUUCCUUUUAUCCCAUUCAUGAUUAGCCUAACUGGCACCCUCAUUCCUUCAUCCUGCGCACUGGCCUUGUUUUUUCUAUGCUUAAAGAGUUGUUUUCAGCGUUUAAUCCCAUCAAAUUAAUUUUUACUUAAAGUUAAAUAUAUAUAUAUAUAUAUAUAUAUAUAUAAAUCUGCUAAAUCUUUUUCCUAAAAUUUUCAAUUAAAAAUAAGGCACGAAAUUAAAUUUUUAAUUUGGCACAUGAAUUAACUAAUUAAUUAUUAUGGUUGACAUCUUAAGUACUUGAUUCAUUUUUAAUCAAAAACCUAAUAAAAAGGACAUAAGCAGUUUUGUACCUAAGUUAGGUCCAUUAAAAAGGAUAUAUUCAGGGUUGUAAUCCCAAAUGGGGAGGCCAUAAACGCAACCUAUAAUCAACUGCUGCAGCAUGUUUUAUAUAUAUAGUAAAGCUAAACUUUAAGAAAAUUCUUGUCAACUCCUUAAAGGGGGUAAUGGGAUCAUGCAUGAUAUACCCCAAACACCUUUUGUCUCUUUGGCCAAUCUUUGUCUUGGCCAAAAGAAAUUAUAAAUUUUUAUUAUAUUUACAUAAAAGAGGAGAGAAAUGACAAGGUGUUAAAUGGAGAGAGUAGUUGAAUUACUAUUUGUCUUAAUUAUAAAUUUAAAAUGAUAUGAAAAGAUUCAAUUUUUUUAUAUAUAGUUCUAAAAAACAACUAAAACGGGACGUCUAAAUUGGAUAAUCAAUUAUUUUAAAAGUUUAAAUAGAUUUAACUUGUAUAUUUAAAUUCUAAUCAAAAUAAGAUAAAAAAAGAAUUGAUGUGUAGAAUGAUAUAUAUAUGUUUAGUAAUUUAAGUAUGCUGCAACAUUCUCAAUAUAUAUUGCCGUAUGUGUCACUUAGAAACACAUCGUACAUUAAUGCCAAAGACAAAGAUGAGAAGCACCACACAGCAUAUACUUAUGUUGAAACUUGAAAGUAAAAGACACAAGAUCGUAAGCCUGGAAAACCUCCAGAAACUUUACUAAUUACAUUAAGAGCACAAAUUAAAAGAUUUCUGAAUAUAGCUGUAGCGCGCUGGUUUCUCCAGUUUUCCAGCGAAGAUCAGUUACCAGAUUCACCCUCCAAGUCGAGAAGAAUUGCUUUGUCAUAUGACUAACAGGAGCCCGAAUAGCUUAAGGAAAGAUUACCUUGGCAACCUGAAUCCUGAUGUUGAAAUUCUGCUACACGGUUAAGGAGCCAUGAGGGAUCCUUAUGUUAUUAUACCAAGCGGUCCACAUGAGAUGCCAGAAACUUUCCGCAAUGAAGUCUGUAUUUCUGAAAUUACAGAGAAGAUCAUUUGUUAACAAGCAAAAGAAAGAGUGUUUUGCUAAAAUUUUUAAACAAAAUAUAUAUAUAUAUAUAUAUAUAUAUAUUUUAGCUAUUAAUUUCAGACAAUUUCAGUGUGAGGUACUAUGUAUGUUUCAGAAGUUACUACUUAACUGCAACAGUAUUUUUCUUCUACAAUUCUUGUCAGGGCCAAACAUGCUUCUAUUAAUGUAAUGUUGGAUUUGCUGGAGUUCAAAGGCAAGGGAUCCUCCUACCUUGUCUUGAACUAAGAAUAUAAUAUAUGCCGUAUCCAGCCUAGAAGCCCCUUUACCAUUUCUUUGUUUUUUUUUUUUUUUCUCGGCCAAAACCUGUAUAUUCAUUAGAUGAAAAGACAUAAUUACAAUGAAUUCCUUAUGGUGAGGGUAGGGGCGAACUUAGAAAUUUUUCUGAGUAGUGUCAUAUUUAAAAAAAAAAUUUCCUUGAUUUAAGAUCUGCUGAGAGAGUACUUAAAUCAAAUUCAACAUAACUUUGCUUAGAAGAAUAUUGUUGAGUAUUAUCAUUAGUAGAAUUUUGUUGUUAUUCUUCGAUAUUUGAGUCUUAUGAGACAAUUUCUUUUCUUUUAAAAUAUCUUUCCUAAAAUUAUAAAACUGGUUAAAAAUUACUAUUUAUUUGUAAAAAUUAAAAUAUUCAAAUUAAAUAAAACAUGAUUUUACAUAGCAAGUUAUCAGGUUUAAUAACUAACAAUAUGAAAAUUUUCUAUUCAUUGAUCAAAACUCAAUAUAAGCAUCCACAAACCAAAUAAAGUUAAAUAUAAAAAUCAAAUAAUCAAAUAAUAUAUCUACCAAAUAAAUAAAUAAAAAGACUCACAAUUUCAAGAUAGUAUUUGAUAUGUAAUACUAUUUUCUAUUAGGUAAAUUAUAAUUAUGAACUCAAAUUAUUAAACUAAUCAUAAAAAUAUUUAGACAUGAAGUAUUUAAAAACUUAAUUUAUGUUGAAAAUUACUUACAAUUGAAAUCUAAAUGAGUUAUUUUGAGAGAAUAAAAAAUACAGUCAAUAACCAAGAAAGGGAAGGAUUUGAAUUUUUAGACAAAUAGAGUAGUUUAGGUUUUAACUUUUUCAAUAAAUCUUAAAUUAUACAAGAAAAAAUUUUGUCUUUCCUUAUAGUAUUGAAAUAUUAAUACAUAAAUUACUUUUUUAUAAAUUAUUUUUACUUGGAGUCUUUAACCCCAUUUCUUGUAAAAUUAUAAAAAAAUUAAUAGAUUCAUUAAUAUAUUAACGACUCUAAAUCUUAAAUAAAUUGUAUAAAAAAUGAAAAUAUUUUAAGAAGUGCUUCCAACAUGGGUCCUCCCAUGGGUAAGGGAAGGAACAAGAGAUAGAUCAGCAUCAAGACAUACAAAGAAAACUGCCAAAAGCUGAAACAGCAUCAAGAAUUCUUUCUGUCACUUCAAUGGCAUAUUUAUUAUCCGACAAAACGAACCAUCACAAUGUCACUUCAUUGAUCAUCAUCAAUUGCUAGUUGUCAUUUGCAUCAUUUUCAUUAUCACAAGCAUCUGUCAAAAUCUACAAGUGAAUCCUACAUGAAAAUUUACUUUUCUUUUCACAGUCUACUCAAAAUGAUCAUAUUAUAAAAUUUUUCUUUUUUUAGUUAAAAACUAUACGAACUAACAAUACCAACUAAAAAUUCAAACUAAUAAUCAUGUUUUUAGUAAUUUACUUAGCAUUUUUUGCAUCUCUCUAGAGUAAUGUUGUGCAUAAAAUGUCAUUUUAAAGAAAAAUUAGUAUCAAUAUACCAUGUUAAGUUCUACUACUUUAAUAUUUGAAAGUUUUAUGUCUUAUUUUAUCCUUUUUUUUUCUUAAACCUUGGAUCUAAUAAAUGGUUUUACGUGAACAUAUAUCUUGAUUCAAAUUACAACUUGUGUCAAAUUUUUGGAAUACUCUUACCGUGGCUGGCUCUGCCAUGCCGGUAUUCAUGAACUAUACAUGCAUGCAUUAUUAAGCUUAAUAAGAUCAAAUUCAACCUGCAAAUGACUUUUUACUUGAUCAAUUGUAAGCCCCUCAACCUGCAUCAAGUCUUUGAUUUGCUUAGGAGUAGCCACUGCCCAGCAUAAGAUCAAGGAAUAAAAUUAAGUAAAAAACAAGGGAACUAAAGCCACAUCUGUACGUAUCAAAGGAAAAAUGAAACCGAUGCACUCAUGAUCAAUAAUCCAUGCAAAAAAGGGACACCUACUUUGCUAUCAAUAUAUAAUAUGUUAUCAAACUAAGGUUAUAAAUCAUAUAUUUAAACCGUCAAAAAAAAAUUCGGAUGGUUAAGUUCUGACCUUCAAUGCCUCCAAGCAGAUUCAAAGCCUCCACAAAUCUAGCAUGAAGCUCAGAUGACCAACAUCUCCUGUCAUUCUUCCAAAUGGGUUGAGUCAACGGCUUUGGAUGAUAAUUAAGAGUUUGAUCAUCUGCCUUGAGAUACAAUAAACUUUGACGUCUAGAUGAUUGAUCUAUGGCUACCUCCUUUCCCUUGCCAGUACUUGAUGAUCCAAGGGAAUUUGAACUACACUCCUUGUAUGACAAGAGUCCUAACCCUUCCACGUUUCCGUCUCUGCAUGGCUGAACUACUUUUAGAUUUGGAGGCUGGAGAAGUCAUUAAGAUUUUAUUCAACAAGUUGAAAAAACCUACAUAUUCUUGCAUAUGGACUCAAAAACAAGUUGAAAGGUCACCUCUUUGUCUUUUACCUGGAAGCUAUCUAGGACUAAUGUUUUCUGCUUCUUAGCAUAAAUAGGGUUCCAGUACUCUUCUUCUGCACUGUUUGUUCGCCAGAUUUCCCUUUGUUCCUGCUCAUUUCUGUUUUUCCUCAUAGUAGGCAGAUACUCCACCAGAGGCUGUCUAGACUGAUAUUCCAUUUUCUCCUUUAUAUUCAUGAAUCCAUCCUUCAAUGUCUCAAUUGCUACAUCUCGAAAAAUAAAAAAUAAAAAAAGAAAAUCUUCGAUGUUUGUCAUUAAUGAGAUAGAUAGAAGAAGAGUAGAAAUAGAAGAAGGGAAGAAAAGAGAGACAGGGAAGGGGCAUGACGAAUCAAAAAAUUUCUCUGAAGAUAAUCAGGAAACCUGAUCAAACUAGAUUUUUACCAGGGCUUACCGUCCAUUAGAAGUAGCCUGCAUUGAGGAAGUUCACGUUUUAAAGCCUCAACCGUGCUUAACUCUUCCUGAUGCUUGCAAAUAUAAUCGCUCAGCACCGAUAACUUAUCCGAUUCGUUAUCAAUUUUCGACAAAUCUUCAAGCAGGUUGCUUAUGGAUUUAGGCACAUAAGAUGGUUUAAGACUCAAGCUAAGAUCCACAUAAGUUGGAUUCAUUAUUUUCCCUCUCUAUUGAACUGUCUUUCAGUAACUGCAGGAAGGGAGUUUGGGGAGAAUUAUAUAUAGAGAGUGUGAGCUGUCUAAGAGAAAAGUAAAACCUGAUAUAGAUGCCGGGUUAAUCCUAGAAGACAAAUUUUAUUACGUACGAAAGAUUCCUGUUCAUAUUUAUCUGAUUUUGUGACAGCAUGAGUUUGUUUUAGAUUUGAAUAGAAACACCAUGUACUAUGUUAGGACCAAGUAUAUAUUGAGGUUAAGUAUGAUUGGUUGCAUCCACUGAUUGAAGAGCAAAUGAUGUAAUUGAGGAAGGUUCACACAGAAUAUUUCCGACAUGCUGACGAAGGCUCUGUCCACACAGAAACUUGAGUUAUGCAAUGAUUACACAGGAUGGUUUUCAAGAGAUUCCAGCCCAUGGCUUUCAAAUGGCCAUGCGUUGGUGGCUUUGCUUUACUUUGUUUUGAGUGGCCCUAGAUAGCGCGACGUAGGAAGAUCCAGAACUGCCAAGGUUCUUGAUGGCAAAAGUAGGGUUUCUUGUUUCUUUCUUUUCUCCACGGCAACGAAAAAUUUGUAGGAGCUUUUGGCAAGUGUGGUGAGUGGCUAAAGGUAGGAAACCGAGAAACAAUUGGCGCUACAGGAGAGAUUUAAUUUUUGGACAGGGAGCACAUUAAUCACGGAAAGUUAGUCUUUCUCUAGUCUAAUUUUCUAGAGGCAUAUUUUGAUAUUAUUUUUAAAUUAUUAGGUAAAAAAUCGAGACAAGGACAUGGUAUUAUUGAUUUUGACAGUGGAUUUGUCGUUGGCUUACACGUGGAUUUUCACCUUACGUUUCACAUAUAUUUGAUGUUUCUUUAUUUUUCUUUCCAUAGUUAUGAUGACUAUGGCUUUAUAUUUUCAUUUGAUUGGUUAAAUUAGAUUACUUUUUUUUGUGAUUAUUAUUGAAUUCGAGCUAUAUUGUCUAUUUUGUACGGAUAUCAUAUAAUAUUCUGUUGAUUUGUUCCUCAAGAUCCUAAAAGAUUGGCAUCCACUCUGUAUCCUUUUACCUUAGAUUUAGAUACAACUUUCCUUUGAAAAUAUAUUGACACAACAAGAAAAAAAGACAAACAUUAUAACAAAUUUGACUUAAAGACAGUACAUUUUCAAAAUGUGUUACUAAAAAUAAUUUUAAUAAUACGUUUUCUAUAUUUUUUGGAACAUUUUUGUAGAUCUAACUUCAUUAUAUAAAUUUUUAAAUGCAUUAUAAAUAAAAUGUAAUCAUAGAAAUUGCAUACACUAGUUAAGAUUGUAUUUUCUUAUGUUGCUAUUAAAUGUGAAAAAAGUGAAGCUAAAAGUUUAAAUAGCUGCAUUUUUUAAAAUUUUACUAUAGAAAAAAUUAUGUCACCUAAAAAAGUAUGAUUAAAACUCAAUUUUUUUUAUAGUGAAAGGAACAUGCUAUUCAUACUUCCUUUUUAUUUGACUUGAAAUAACUUAUUUAUAAAUUGAUAUUCAUAUAUAUAUAUCUAAUUUAUGGAAUAAGUUAUUUAUUAUCAUGUUGUUUAAGAGCAUUUAACUCAAUGCUAAAUGCAUUAGGUCCAAAUUAUUUUUAUUCCAAAAUUCAAAGAAAGAAAAAAAAUCCAUAUCAAAAUAAGAGAGACAAAAAAAAUGGUGAAACAGAUAGCAUUACUUGGAAAAAUAUAUUAGUAAGCUAGCAUGGAAAGAGGAGGAAUUUAUGCGACGUUUUACAGUUACGGAUUUUAGGAAAGAGUACCUUAAGGACACUCUUUAAGGUUAUCAUAUUAUCGAGAUUCAUCACAUUAACAUUACUAUAAUCACUACAUUUAAUACAAAAUCAUUACUAUACAUAUAAGAUUAACUAAGCUUAAAAAGUGUUUAUAAAAAGCAAAACUCUUUAAUUUAAAAAGCAGAGAGUUCAAACAUUCCAUUCAACGUGUCAGAUUUUGAUGUAGGGUAAUCUAACUAACAUCCUAGGAAAGAUGAAAACAUUCCGAGGGCUUCAAAUUCUUUCUAAAACCCUUGCAUGGCAUGGCAGAUUCCAAUGUAUCAACUUUUGCAUCAAUUGAUGGAAGUCUUACAUACAUUGAAUAAGACUUGUGGACGAAGCUAGUCCACAAAGAUUAAAGAGAGGGAAACGGGGAACCAGCAGCUCCUGGCUAGGAUUUUUCCACCAUGGGUUCUCAAACCUUCAACGCCUUUCAAAAAGUAAAAAUUAUAUACUCUCCCCCUUUUUCUUUAUCGAACACCUCAAUUUUACUUUUUAAAAAAAAAAAAAAAACUUAAUGCUCUUAUUUUUUAUUUAAAUUUAUUUUUUGUAAUUUUUUAGUUUUGACAUUAAAAAUAAUAAAAUAUGCUUUAUUUUUAUUUAAAAAUUAAAAUUUUAAUACAAAUACACAAUAUUGAACUUUUUUAAAAAAAUUAUAAAAGAUUAUUAACUUUAAGAUGGAGGAAGUAACACUUUAUUGCCAAGCACUUUGAUGUUGCGUUGUGUAGAGCUUAUUAGGUUGUUUAGCCUAUUGAUGCCAUAAAGAAGAACAGAAAAGAGAGAGAACAAUAUCACGGUGCAAUCACUUUGAUGUUAUGUUGUGAAAUAUGAGUUGAAUUUUUUUUUUUAUGAUAAAAUGAGGAAAUUUAAGAAGAUUUGAAUUUUAAAUCUUUGUUCUUUUAUAAUUAAAUUUUAAUAUUAUCAUCCUGUAUGAGUCCGAAUAUUCAACCAUUCAUUAACAUCUAAGUGAAUCUAUCCUUUCUAAUGAGAUACAAAACCUUUCUUAAAUUCACUUAGGUGCACUCAAAAAAUAUCAUUUUAUAAGUUUAAUUUCUUCAAAAACUCCUUAGAUUUUUCUAGAUUUGCAAAAAACCAAGAACCCAAAAAAACAUAGAUAAAAAAGCUUAGAUUCCAUAGUUGAUGACUGGAUUUUGCCCCCAUCGAUCUCAGCUUCUCCCUCCUCCCUCCGUCCUUCCCACCGAUUAAUUUGCUAAAACAAAACCUUCCUCCUCAAUAACGCAACAAAAACCGAAUCUAAACCCCAAAAAAUGAAAUCACAUUUUUUAAUAUGUUCUAUAUUGUGCGUAGGGUUUUUUAUACCCAUUAAUUUGAAGAUUAUUAGAUUUUUUUAUUUAUUAAAACUUAUCAAUGUGAGAUUUGAAUGAACGUUUGGAAUCAAUUGGAGAUAGGAUUGGAUAAGGCACUACCUAUCCAAUCCUGUCUCUCUUUUUUUUUUUUCAAUUUUCUGUAUUUUUUUAAUUUUAUUUUUUAAAUUUUUUUAAAUGUCAAUUAUGAAAGAAAAUAAAAAAAUAUUAAUUCCAAAAAUUUCCAAAAAUAUCACCGACAAAAUAAGGUAUCUACAAAUAUAAUUAUUACAAUCAUGUUAACCGGAAAAGUGAAAGGAUUUGAUUUUUUGUUAAAAGAGGAAAGAUUUGAUCUUGACUGAAAGCGACUUACAGAGUGCAAAUUAGAUUUGAUAAUUUGUGCUCACAUGUUUUAAUCAUGUCGUGUAAAUAGUUAUACGAAUAAAUAUUAAUGAAAUGUAUCAGGAUCCUAAACACGAACACGGAUAUAUUCACUAAACAUGUAAUAUGACACGAUACGCUUAAUCGUUUAUGAAAUGGGUUCGAUUAAAUUUUAUAUCACAAAACACGAUUAUAACUUGUUUAAACAAUUAACACAAUUAAAAUUUUGAACACGAGUAACAUAAUUAAAUUAAAAUGCAUAUGGUCAUUAGUUUUAAAUUUGAAUAAUGCAGUUAUAUUUUAUUUAGGCAUAAUAAAUAAAAAAGCCCCUAAACUGUUCAGAAAAAUUUAAAUAAAUCAUUAGACUUUUAUUCAAUUUAAUCAAGCCUUUGUACUUUUAUUUUUGGUCAAAUAAGUCCUUAUAACUAAUGGUUAACUAAUUGUCAUUAGUGAAAAUGUCACUUGUCAUUUUAUAUCCACAUAGCGCUAACAUAGCAUUGAUAUGGAGAGUGAAAAAUGUCACAUGAUCAGAUCAUCAUGUCAAAUUAGCAUGUUACAUCAUCAUUAAUUAUAAUAUAUUAAAAUGCAGCGUCCUAAUCAAUUAUAAUAUAUUAACAUGUCACGUCAGCGCCUCGUGGUAUAGAAUGGCAAAUAGCAUUUUGACUAAGCCAAUUAUUAGUUAUAAGGAUUUAUUUAAUUCAAAAUAAAAAUAUAAAGACUUAUUUGGUUCAAAAUAAAAGUAUAAAAACUUGAUUGAACGCAAUAAAAAUGUAAGAGUUUAUUUAAAUUUUUUUGAAUAGCUCAGAGGCUUUUUAUAUAUUAUGCCUAAAUAAAAUAUAACUUCAUUUCAAAUUUAAAACUAAUAGUCAUAAAAAUAAUUAUAAUAAAACAAUAAUAUCUAUCAAGUAUAACAAAAUCCACCACCAUCAUCAUCAACCAUAUUAAAAAAAAUAUUUAUAUGAGGGGUUGAAAUGGGUAACAAACACCUAAUGAUUAAUUAAAUGAGUUACGAGUUAUUCGAAUAAAUGAUAACACAAUUAAUUAAACAUGUCUUAAAAGAGUUGAGCAAGUUUGAUACUUUUAAAAUUCAAAAAUGUCAUGUCUUAACCAUGUCGACACCAUCAAAACACGAUUUGAAACAUGAUUAUUCUAAACCCAAAUCCAUUUAACUAUGUAUUGUAUAUAAAAUUGUCAGGUCUAGUGUGAAUAGUGAUAUGUCAAAAGUAGCGAUUUAACCAAAAAAAUAGUGGACAUUAUUUUUUUUGAAAAGUUAAUAUAUUACUCAUGCAUCGAUGUAUAGAGAAGAAAGCCAAUUGAUAUCCAAGGAGCAAAACUGCUCCUUUCCAAUGGCACAACUAUUCUUAUAGGCAUAACAAAUUCCAAGGAAACCCACAUAGAAACAUCAGAAACAACAUAACCCUAUCGCAAGACAUCACUCCCCCAAAAACAAAAACAAGAUAUUCACAAACACAACAAGAUAAUGAAACACUCAAUAGAAAAGACCCCUUCACGCUCCCAGCAAAAAGGAAAAUAGAGAGUUUUCAACAUUGCUUUAAAGUACCACAAGCAACUCUUGUUGUCUUAACAUCCUUGCUGUUACAAGUGUGUCUGCUUCAGAAUUCACCUCUGUAAGGAUCUUAGACACCUUCCACUUGUUCAUCUUCCUUUUCAAAUUCUUUAUUUGUAGGAUCCAUUUCCUCACAUUCCAUGGUGCAGUCAAAGGGUUGUUUAUCCAAUUAACUACAUUUUUUGAAUCAGACUCAACAAUCAAAUUAUAGGACAACCUUCAACCUUCAUUUCGAUGAAGCAAAGAGAAAGAAAGCUGGAUGGACAACAUGUAAUUUUGCAAGAUUAGAAUCCAUAACCCCCACUAAUUUGGAGAAUUGAAUUAGUACCACCCUAUGUUCGUUCCUUAAUAAGCCCUCAAUAAUGCCCAUCUCUCCCAGUUUACCACGGGCAACACCAUCCACAAUUCCACAAAAAGGAAAGCUUGAUGGACAACAUGUAAUUUCGCAAGAUUAGAAUCCAUAAACCCACUGAUUUGGAGAACUAAAUUAGUACGACAACGUGUUCGCUCCUUAAUAGGCCCUUAAUAACGCACUUCUAUCCCAAUUUACCACAGGCAUCACAAUCCAUGUUAAAUUUUUUAGAGUUCUUUUUGGUAGGUGUGUCUAUUCGAUCCCAUUUCUUGUCUUCCUAACCUUCCUUGUAGAAGACACCGAGGUAAAAGACCUAAAAGAGUCAAUAACAAAGACAUUCUUAGAAGGCCACAAAGCUUGUGCUCAUGAUGCCACUCGAAACCAAACAAUACCAUAAACCUGCAAUUCGUCCCAAGUCUUCCCUUGGAACACCACCUCAUUUCUCAUUAGCCAAAUUGUUUAACAAACCACAAAAAAAAAAAAACUAUUUUCCAAAUCUUUACAUCUCCUUCCGCCACAACCACAUUAUUCUAAGCAAGGAAGAAUUGCAACCUUUGUUUACGAAUUGUCCACAUGAUUCCCCAUAUCAAGCACAAUCUUGCCUAGAUUUUCCAUGUCAUUUAACAAGUAUAGAACAAAUGAGAUAUCGAUUCCUGCUCUUUAUUGCACAGCACAAGCGUGGCAACGUCUGGUUUGAUCAACGGUCAAAUUAAAAACAGUUUUUAUUAAGAACAAUUUGACAGAAAAAUUUGGAAGAAUAAAUACCCCUUGUAGUGCUUUUCCAUAUUACCUUGUCUUUAAGCUUUUCUGAAAUGAAGUAUUUAUUCAACAACAUCCAAAAACUAUCCCAUUGAUUCAUCUCCUAUCCAAAGGGUUCCCUCCUUAACUCAGUCCUCCAUUCCCAAGUCUUUUCCUCUCAUUCACCAAACUCAUAUUCCUUCCCAUGUCUAUUAGAAGCUAAUGCGUACAUUCUUAACAAACAUGUUUUCAACAUUAUCCCCUCUAUCAACUGAUCAGACCAAAAAGCAAUCUUUUUUCCAUUUCUUAAAACCACUACUGAAUUCAAAGAAACUAGAGGGUGAAAAGAUCAUUAGUAUUCAAUGGCCUUAUGAUAUUUUCCCAUAUGCUAUAGGUGUUUCUACUCUUAUUAUAUAUGGGCAAGGUACUAUUUUGGUCCAUGAUUCUUCUCAUCAAUCACCUUACACCACAUGCUAAUUGAUUCGUUGUUGUACCUCCAUAGCCAUUUACUGAGCAGUCCUUUAUUUUUCACCUUUAGAUCAAUUAUCCCCAAUCCACCACAAUUUCUAAAUUUACUAACCAUUCCCUAAUCCACAAAGUGUAUUUUAUUGUUUAAGGAGGUCCCGUUCCAAAUAACAUUCUUUGUAUAUGAUUUAAUUACUCUUUAACAGAAGAAGGAAAUUGAAAUUGGGACAUGAAAAAAAAAGGCAAACUAGAAAGAACUAACCUUAUCAAUGUGAUCCUCCCUCCAAUGGAUAAUGUCAUGGCUUUCCACACAGCAAACCUUGACUUAAAUCGAUCAACACGAGGUUUGCAAAUUUUGAUGGAGUGUUUGUUGGCUCUUAAGAGAAAUCUUAAGUAAAAUUAAGGUAAAGAUCCCAUACUACACUGAAUCCUAUCCACCCAAUUUCUAAUUUGUCGCACAUCCACUACUACACCAUACACACAACUUUUCUAGCUGAUUAAUCUUGAGCCUAGAUAUUGCCAAGAAACACCUUAAUACUCUUUUUGCUCCUAGCAAACACUCCAAAAUUGGUUUAUAUAAAAUCAAUGUAUCAUCAAUGAGUUGGAAAUGAGAGACCUUCAACCCAUUAUUUCCAAUAGAUAUCCCAUGACACAAUCCCACUGCUUAACUUCAUCCAUUAGUAUACUAAAAGCCUCCACCACCUAAUUAAAUAAAAAAACGGGGAUAAUGGACAUCCUUACCCCAGGCUUCGCCCCAUUUUAAACUUUCUUGUAGGAACACCAUUUACGAAGACUGACACCAAUGCAAUGGCAAUACAAGAUAUCAUCCACUGACACCACUUUAUCCCAAAUCUCUUUUUUUUUUUUUACAUCACGAGCUCCAAAUAUUUUCAUUCAACACUAUCGUAAGCCUUUUGAAAGUCCAUUUUAAAUAAAACUCCACCCUUCUGUGCUUUUUUUCACAUGAUCCACCACCUCGUUUGUAAUUAAAACACAAUCGAGGAGCUGUCACCCACGAAAAAAGUAAAUUGAUUAUGUCCAAUCACUUCAUGUAUCACAUUUCUUAUUAUGUUUGCUAAGAUUUUCACCACAAUCUUAUAAAGACUCCCUACCAAGCUGAUGAGUCAAUAUUUAUUUAGGUUUUUUGAAUUCUCACACUUAAGAAUCAAUGUGAUAAAUAAGGUAUUAACAUUCUCACUCAAUUUACCCGUUUGAAAAAACUUAUCAACAAAGUCCAUCACAUCAUAAUUAAUAACAACCCAUUGCUCCUUGAAAAACUCUAAAUUGAAACCAUCAAGUCUUAGGGCCUUGUUCCCUUCACAUUCCCUGAUCGUUUCACAAAUCUCUUCUAUUGUACUUUGUCUUUCAAUGCUUCUUACAAACUGUUCACUCAAAUUUCUGGUCACCUCGAAGUCCAAGAAAGUUACCACUUCCUUCUUCUUGUAGAAUACUCUAAAGAAGUUUGCCACUUCUUUUUUUAUUUAUUCUGGUUCCUCUAUAAUCUUCCUAUUCACCCUAAUUUUUUUCAUGAAAUUCCCUUUCCUUCGAGCUGAUGCCACUAUAUGAAAAUAUCUAGUAUUACGAUCAUUCUCCAAGAACCACUUGACUUGUGCUUUUUGCUGCCAUUCAUGUUCUCCAAUUCUAUAAAGUCUCCAUAACUCAGCUUUUUUUGUUGCAAUAGCCUGUCUCACAUCAUAUCUAUCUAGCUCUUUUUGUCUAACCUCAAUGUGAUGCUAGAUUUCCUUUUCCAACACAUCUAUUUUCAUGUUUGACACUCCAUAUUUCUGUUUGUGCCAACUUCUGUUCCUUGGCUUCAAGGCCCUCAAUUUCCCUCACAGUCCAUUUUAUCACAACCCUUGCCUCCCUUGAUCAGCUCUUGAAAACUAUUAUCUUCAAGCCAAUAAUUGAAGAGUUUGAAUGGCUUUGGACCCCAGUCCAUUUUUUCCAUGCUAAGUAUCACUGAAUUGUGAUUUGACAAGGAGAUUGGCAAGAAUUUUUGCACCAUAAAAGGGAAAAUCUCCUUGAAUUCAGCAUCAACAAGAAACUGAUCUAUCUUGUUGUAUGUUGCUAUCUCUCGAUUGUUGCACCAUAUAUAUUUAUUUCUUAUCAAAGGCUAUCAACUAAAUCCACACUUUUAAUAAAGUUAGAAAAAUGAAUAGAAGCCACCUCUCUAUCACCACAUCCAUUCUCUCCCUGUUAUUUCUAAUUGCAUUGAAAUCUCCACUUAUUAUCCAUGCCAACUUAGUACGAUUUAUAAAACUAGCAAGUUCUUCCCAUAGUUUAACUUUCUGAUUAUCAUUAGUAAGGGCAUACAUAUUCCUUAGGUCACGCUCCUUAUUAUACUACUUCAAUUUCCUAAAGGCAAGGAUGUAGUGUUUGUUUACAACACCGUCUUCCAACUCAAAAAAAAAAAAACCUUAUCCCCCAACAUAAGGAGUCCCCUAAACCUCCCUUUAACCUAAAAAAAUAACGAGUCACAAUUACCUUUUUCCCAUAAAUCCUCACCGCAUGAUUUAUUAUUUUUUGAUAAUUUGGUUUCUUGAAGAACUACCACAUUAAGUUUCUCUUUAUUGAUAACUUUUCUUAUAACUCUUCUCUUUUCUCAUCUACCUAACCCCCUAACGUUCUAGGUUAAUAGAAUCAUGAUCAACAGACCAAACCCCUACACACACAUGAUUGUAUGAUUUUCUGGCACCCUUUUGUUCCAUUAUGCUUUUUGCUUCCAAGUUAAUGAAGAAAUCAAUCAUCUUUUCUUCAUUACUCUGGAAUCUUAGCUCUAACCUGUAACUAAAUCCCACAAUUCCUCCCCUUUUUUCCUCAAAACUUCAUUUCUAUUCAUUAUAUCCUAGUCUGAAAUUAUUGCAUCUAUAAUCUCCACCCUUACCUGGUCCCUAAGAACAACCUUCAUAAUCAUUUUCCUUGUCAGUUUUCUUUUUUGACUAAGCAAAGCUCGUUUACCAAAUUUGAGUAUCUAGGAAACCUUUCUUAAAUAGCUACUCUUCAUCUUCUCAACUUCAGGCAAUUUCUUCCUACCUCUCUUGAUAUUUUUAGUCUUCGAUUCCACCGUUGCUUCAAAUUUAUUAGCCUCUUUCUGAAUAUUAAUGCCUUUUCUUUUCUCCAUGUGUUUCUUUGAAUUCCUUUUUCUUAUAAUUUUUUUUUCUGCUUUACCAUGGCUGCCUUUCUGAUUCAAGCAUGUUGGCUCCAUUUUGGCUUUUAGCCCACCUAGUUUCUUUCUACCAUUUGCACCCAUCACCAUAGGUACUUUCAGUUUUGGUUAACCUGUGUCUUUCUCUCUUAAAGCUUUCAGUUUUGGUUAACCUGUCUCUUUCUCUCUUAAAGCUAUCAUCCCUUUCCCUCUACUCUGUUGUGCUAAACCAACCCUCUCCACCAAAAUACCUUUAAUGUUUUUUUCUUCAGUAAUGAAGCCAUUGUACUUCUAAUUUUGCUUUAAUAAGAACUUUUAAUACCUCUUUCACUUUCAAUUGGAACUAAGAAUAGGUCUUCAUUAUUUGGGCUUAUGGGUAUGGGUGAUAUUAAGUGAGGGCUAGGGCAAUCCUCAAUUCUAGCAUUAUUGGACCUCACAGCAUCUAACUUAACUAUUGAAUCCUCAUCUUCUACCACUUGGCCCUCAUCGUUGGGCUUGCUUUUGGGUUUAGUAAUUUUUUUUACUCCACAUCAUGAAUGGGCUUAUAUGACCACUACUGGUGCAUGCUGCCUCUGCCCCGACCCAACCCCAAUAUCCAACUUCAUUUAUUUUCUCUUUAUCACCCGUUGAUUAGCCUCUAUCUUUCAACUAGCUUGAUGGUUGCCAACCCGAGCCCCUUCUUGAUCAGUGUGCAUGGCUUGCUCUCUCACAUCAUCCCCACUUUUUACCUACAAAGAUUGAACUUUACUAAUUUAAGGCUUAACUCCAUACUCUCCCUCAAUUGUCACCUUUUUUACUUGUUUUAUCUCGUUUAAAAAUCCUCUACAUCCAAAUACAAUUUCCUGACAUCCUUGUUCUCCGCUAGAACUACGACCUCACUUUUUCGUUUGCCCGAGGCACUAGUACAGUGAUCACAUGAGCUUGUGCUUCUUGACUCCCAAACAUCGGUUUCCCACUAGUAAGAACCACCUAAGUCCGACAUGCGAUCCACCUCAUCCAAACUUGUUCCCUUCUUGGUGGCUAUAGUAUAGCCCUUUAUAACAAAUAUUUCUUCUGCAAUACUAGUCUAAAUUGAAACCUCAUCCCCAUUAAUAAUUACCUUGAAAAAAUCAAGGGUUUGAAAUUGACUAUUAACUUCUAGUAAUACCUUAGCUUUGUUAAACCUCUCUCUUCUUAUUGUGGCUUUAUCUGUUUCGAGCAAAUUGCCUCAUAUCUCACCUAUGGUUCUGAAAAAACUUUCAUGCUACAAAAAGAUAAGGACAUCUUCAAGUUUAACCUGGAGGAGUUGCUCGCUACUACUCGCCUCCCUAUUAUAUGGCUUGAUCCAUUGGAACCAUAUUUUGAACGCCACUAUAUAAUUACCUAAGAGGGUUUUCAUUAGUUCUUUAUCAUCAAACAUUACUAGUACUUUUAAUAGAUGCCUUCUAAAUAUAAGGCUUUUUGAACUUAAUAACAAUUUGUGACAUAUCUAAGUUUACCGAUGCCAUUUCAUGAAAGGCAUUCCAUGGCCUCCCUUGGAAAGUUAACCCUUACCUUCACCAAUUCCAUCUUUCCUUCCCGAUUCUCUAUUUAACCUCAGUCUAAAAGUUUUUCCUACCCUUACUACCUUGGGGUAUGAUCAUCCAUCACUUUUGUUUGCUUGCACAUCUUUUGUCUCCUCUAUCUUUCCACAACAAAAAAACAAAGUAUCAUCGACAAAACUUUUCGUAAGCAAUGAAUAAGAUUUUGUCAAUAUUGUCCAUUUUGACAAAAAUAUCGACAAAAUUUUCAAUCAACAAUCAAUUGAAAAUGCUAUCGUUGGUCAUGAAAAAUCCUUCAGUGAUGGAUUAUCUCAUUGAUACAUUAACGAUUGAAAUUUCCAUCAUCAAUUCUGAUGGAAAAGACUAACGGGGUAGUCAUCAAUAUGGGUUAAAAUCGAUUGAUAAAUUUUGUCGAUAACAUUAUCGAUGAAAUUUUAUCCCGUCAAAAGGUCAAUCGUGAUUAUCGAUAGAUUGUCGACAUAGCUUACUAUGAAGCUUACAAAUAGUAUCCAUCCACAAUGGUAAUAAGUCCAUUGGUAUUCCGUCGAUAUUUUGUAUGAACUCCAUUGACAAUGUGGUCAGUAACUGAUGAAUUCCAUCAUUAAUAGGUGAACUUUGUUUUCAAUUUCAUUAAUAAUACCUGCAGAGCUGGGUUUUCUUAUUUUCUGUUUGGGAAUUAAAUUUUGUCUUGUUCGUAAUAAAAUUAUUAUAUAAUGUUGUUCUUGAUGAAGUAAACAUAUAGUAAAUAUAUAUGCAUAUAAAAAAUAAGAGAAUUUAAUACAAAUCAUUAUUAAUAAAAAGUAUUCCAAUGUAAACAUCUAAUAAUAAUCCAAAUGUAAACAUCUAAUAUAAAUCAACUCUCACUAAAGGGGUGGGUGUGGCUGCUAUUGCUAUUGUGGUGGAGGCUGCGAGUUUGACUACCGUGAUUGGGAAACCCCAGAGGCAUCUGACUCAAGCUGUGCUUUCUUUGAUCCAAUUACCUCCAUCAACAAGUGGUCGAAGGUGUUAAAACCUGUCAUCAAAGUCUUGACAUUGGUAAGCAAUUGUCAAUAUCCUUUGGGCUUAGGCGCAGAAGGCGGUGAAUGAGGUGGUGCAUCGUUAGAGCCACAAGCAAACUCAAAUGUUAGGGUUGCAGCCAGAACUCUCGAAGUGGGGACUCUGGUGCCAAAUCUGCAUACAUGGGUCUAAAAAAGGGUGGACCUUUUUAUGGCUUCGAUCCAUGCCUCGGAUCAAACUCCGAUUGGCUCGACAGUUUCGCACUGUAAUUUUGCGAUUUUGUAAAAGUGUAUGAUUCCUACAAAUAGGAAAAAGUAAUUAAAUUAAUGAUUAACUAAUUUAAUCGAUAAGCAACAUAUAUAUCAAAUAUAUAUAAACAUACGUAUUACUUACACAAAUAGUCUUGGACUUCUUGUCCACAAAUUCUCUCAUACCUUUUUACCGCUUAUGAAUACAUUCAAAGAGCUUAGAGAAUGUCACUUGGGGUUGUUUUUCCUUUUCCUAUAAUCAUAAAAACACAUUAACAACAUAAACAAUUGUAUUAUUAAAAUGAAUGAUUUUUGUAGUAUUAAAAUAAAACCAUGUACGUUCUUCUUCUAAUGUAGGGCAAUAGAUAAGAAACUGUCGAUAUGUUUAGCAAUGUUGUUGUCCUUCUCUGUAAGGUGGUUUUGCUUAGCCUUGCAUGAACGUGACUACCACUCAAGCUUGGACCAUACAUCAUCAACUAGUUGGUCCCAUACCUCAACAGUUAUUCAAGGUCAUGCCUUACCCUUCAUCAACAUGAGAUCGACAUUAGGGUUGCUCGUUUUUUUCUUGGUCUUGUUGCGCUCAUCCCCUAAUAAUUCCUUAAGGCAGUACUUGCAAAUCUUCUCCCAUAUUGACUGGACCUCCAUUGCAUCUGUAGUAGCCCAUGAAAUAGAUUCCUAUAUUGAAGAAAAAUAUAUAUUAGUAUAGGAAAUUAUCCAAUGUUAUAUACUAUAUCCUUACGUUACCUCAAAUUUCUGCCACAUGUUAUCCUUGGGCUCCUAAGGAACCUGCCUUCAUGUCGACUAAGGUCCACUAAAAUUACCCUUGAUAAUCUAUGUAAUCAUCGGAGUAAUGCCAAUCUCCUCAAAAGUACUAGAAAAUAGACUUAUUGUUAGUAAAAUGCAUAAAUUAAUUAACUAAACUGACUGCAUCUAAUUAAUUAUAUAAAUUGGAGUAUGAGAAACUUACUUCCCUAUGAGAAGAUGUAGAAGUAUCUAUCGAGUCAGAUGAGUCAGAGUCGACAAACAAAGACUUAGCCCUCUUCCCCUAGAUUGUGACAUGUUGGAUGCUAUAUCAGAAUCCAAAGUGGGGUUUUCGACUGGAGUAGUCAAGCUCGACAUAAGUACCUUUAGUUAUACCAAAGCAGUAUUUGACACUGCAUGUGGAGUUUGUGGUCUGGUAGGAUGAGGUGGCAAAGGUUGCCGCACAAAAUAUUAAGCAAUCGAAGGGCCCGUGCUACUACCGGCUCAAAAGUGUUCCUUCAUAUUUUUCUUCACCGUAACCAUGUCUGUCCAAUAAGAAGAAAAAUGUACAGCUAUUAGUAUAAUUAUAAAAAAAAGAAUAUGCAUAUAAACAUUAAUUUAAAUGCCAUAGUGCAAACAAUAAAUUCGUACAUUUUUUUAAGAAAAAUAAAUAGAUCCAUCAAUCAUCAUCAAAACAACAUAAUUCAUUUUCUUCGUUUUGAUAUUCAUCAUCAUUAGUAUCGUUUUCAUUUUGUUCAUCUAAUUCUUUCUUUGCCUCGUCUUACUCUCCAUUAGCUUCAUCAUCUUCUUUAUUAUGUUCAACAUCCACAAACAUAUUAACCUCUUCAUAUUAACCAUAAGAAGAAUUGUAUUAUUGUCAAAGUCGAUCGAACUAUGAUUAAAUUGUGAAUUGAAGAAAACUCCAUCUUCUUGAUACACCCUUUUUUUAAAGUUGAUCAUUAUCCGUAAUGGGAAAUUAAUUUUGAGCCUUCGUCUUGAACACUGCCCACCAAUCAUGUCGAUCUCUUUUGUUAGAUGGAUAUGGAGUGUAGUACACUUGAGUUACUUGUUCGGCUAAAACAAAAGGCUCAUUGCUAGCAAGAAUCAAGUUGUGUUUAACGUCGACCAACUCAUAAAUAGGAUCUACUCGAACACCUUUGCUAAUAUCAAACCAAUGGCAUUUGAACAACAUGACUCGGUUGUUGAUACCAAAGUAUUCUAACUCAAUAAUAUAGACCAACAAUCCAUAAAAGUUACGAUCAUAAUCAUUAUAACAACGUCCCUUGAUGUAAACACCACUAUUCAUCGUUUUACGUUUGUGACCAUAAUCCAAUAUGUGAAACUUGUAUCCAUUGACAUAAUAACCUUUGAAACAACUUGCCAUACGACCAGGUCCAUGAGAGAUGUCAACAAUAUGAAAAUCGAUUUGACUCGCAUGUUGGCAAGCCUAUAAAAAAGUUACAUGGCUUUAAAUCAUUUGAAGUAUUAAAUUAACAAAAUCAAAUUGACUUAUUAAAUAUAACUUACAUAUUGUUUAAACCAAUUAUGAAAUGAUGCGUCUUGGACUUUUUCCAAUUCCUUCUCGAAUAUAUCAUAUUGUUCUUUUUUAACCAUAUCAUCGAACAUCUUAUAGAUAUGAAGAACAUUAAUGACGAAUUAAUAUCAUUCUUUAAAUUACAGAAAAUUAUUGCUUAAACUUAUACUUAUUCAAUGUACAGUAAUAUCUCAUCGCAGUUCAUUAGUACAUAUAGUUUGACCGUGUAAAACUCAUCCUCUUUUAAGUAUAGACAUUUCUCAAAUUGAUUAAAAGGUCGACCCUAAAUAGGUGAAAAUCAAUAGAUGACCGGCUGCAUCAACAUCUCUACCUUCGUCAUUCCAUGGUACCUAGUUCAUUCUUGUUGGUGUUGUAGGUUCCAAGUACAUUGAACAAAAUGAUGAUAUUUCCUCGAUGAUAUAUGCUUCAUAAAUGGAUCCUUCAAUUGCUGAUCCAUUUUUCACCUUUUUUCAGAUGUUGUAAGAACCUAAAAAUUAAUGUUCAUUUUUAGAUUCUAAUAGUCAAUAUUAAUAACUAAAAAAAAUUAAAUUACAUGUGUGGGUUUAGGGGUUAACCUUUCGAACAGAUACAUCCAUCGACAAUGGAUGGUCCUCCAACCUUAGCUUUGUAUGGCAAGUGGAUCGGCAAAUGCUCCAUUGGGUUGAAAAAAUCAAAGGGAAAAAUCUUUUUUAAUUUGCAAAUGGUUUUCACGAUUUUCCCUUCUCAUGCAUUGAUAUACUCAAGACGCAAUUUGAUUGCAUGUACAUCAUGAAAGAAAUGUGAGAUCUCAACAAUUGCACUCCAAAUUGCGUGAGGGACCAUAUCACUCAAAGCAAUUGGGAGCAACCACUGCAGGAAAAUGUGACAAUCAUGACUUUUCAUCUCAUAAAAUUUGCAUUCUUGCUCAUUUACACAGUUUGCUAUGUUAGAGGUGAAAUUAUCUAAUAAUCUUAACUAUUCCACCCAAGCACACACAACUUUUUUUUGCUCCUUAGUCAAAGUGUAUGAGGUUUUCAAUUUAAAAGUUUACCAUUAUUUUCAAUUUAGUGCAAUUUCGAAUGCCUACAACAAACCUCCAAAUUACAACAAGCAUUGAUAUUGUCUUUUGUCUUUCCUAGAAUAUCCAUCAUUAUGUUGAAUAUAUUUUCAAACACGUUACACUCAAUAUGCAUCACAUCCAAGUUGUGACAAAUAAAAUUCGUCUGCCAAUAUAGUAACUCCCAAAUAUGCUUUUCUUAGUUCAAUUAUGGGUUUGACCGAAACUCGGUAACCUUUUGCCACCCACCUUUGUCCCAUAUGUGAUAUUUGGAAUUGACUCGAAUCGUUCUAAGCUCUCAGCUUUGGAUAACCGAGGAAUUGGAGGAUCCUAUUCAACACGUUUUUUAAAUUUAUCUUUUUGGUGACAAAAAGGAUGAUCCAUCGACAAGAAUUGCCGAUGACAAUAAAAAAAAAACAAUACUUCUUCCCGUACUCCAAGAAGAAACUCUUUUCAUGUUCCAUACAAUAUGGAUAUGAUAAACGUCCAUGAGUGCUCUACUUGGACAACAAACCAUAUGCAGGGAAGUCAUUAAUAGUCCAUAGGAGUGCUACUUGUAGAAUAAAAUUAUGUUGAGUAAAGGCAUCGUACGUGACCACCCUUUCAUCCCAAGAGCUUUUAACUCAUCAAUUAGAGGUCGAAGGAACACAUUAAUGUUCUUUCUAGGAAGUGUCCUUUUUGGGAUGACCAUAAUAAGAAAGAUGUAUAGUUGCUUCAUGCACAUCCAUGGCAGUAAGUUAUAAACAGUGAGCAUUACCGACCAAAUAGAAUAUGGUUUCGUUGUCGGCCCAAAUGGACUUAAACCAUUUAAACAAAAACCGAGUCUGAUGCUAAGAGGCUCAAAGGCAAAAGACUGAUGGGUGCGAUUAAAAUGUUGUCAAGCCUCACCAUCAAUAAGAUGCCUAAGCACUCUAUCAUUAGAUUGGUGUAUUGCAUGCCAUGUCAUAUAUUAUGUAGUUUUGCCUAACAUGUAUAGCCUCUGCAAUCUCAGUGUUAAUGGAAAAUAUCGUAAUAUCUUAGAAGGAAUUUUUUUUCUCCCUUCCUCCUAAUGAUUUAUCUAGUUUAUACCAAGGAUGACCACAACAUGGAUAAUAAGACAACUCAAAAUACUAAUUAUAAAACAACACACAAUUAUUCGUACAUACAUGAAUUUUUUGAUAGCCGACCCAAGUUCCUUCAGCUAUGUCUUCAUUCCAUAGAAGUUUUUAGUAAUGAUUCAUCGGAUGGCAACAUCUCCUUCAAUAAAUGCAUCAAAUGAUUAAAGCAUGCCUCACUCAUGCUAAAUUCAGACUUCAUAUUCAGUAAUUGGGACAUAGUUGACAGUUUUGUGUAGUUAUCACGUCUGACCCACAAAGCUGCAUUAGCAUCACUUAAUAACAAGAAUAAAGAUGUAGCAUUCGGAUUUGGAUCUUUAGGAAUAAUUGGUUCAACUCGAGUCUCAUCAUUGAACUGAAACUCCAAUAGUAAAGCAUCCAUAACCAUUUCAGCAUAUGAAUUUUCUACUCUAACUUCAUUAACUAGUUCGUUUCGCUCACUAACAAAAUGUCUCGAUGAUUGGCCGUCAUGAAACGAUCACCAUGUGCAUCUCAUAUUGUGUAUGCACAAGUAAACCUUUUACGAAAUAGCUGUUCUCGAACUUGAUCAGUAACCAAGAACUUGCUAUUCAUACACAAAGAGCAAGGACAUCUGAUCUUAUUCUCAAUCAUGUAUCUUAGUUGACUGAACGCAAAUGAAAUAAAUUCAUCUACAUCAUUCACAAAUUAUGUUCUAAGAAAUCCAUUUGAAUCCACUCGGGAAUAUAUUUAAUACUUAUCUUGUUCCAUUUUGAGAAACAAUACUAUAACAAACAUAUGACAUAGUUCUUUAUCAAAUGUUAACACAAACAUCAGUAUUGAAUAAAAACACACUUAAAUACUGAAAUUAAUUAAUUUCCUAAACACUUAAUUAAUUUAAAUAAAUAAAAUAUUAUAUAAUAUUAAUAAUUUAAUUAAUUGCUUAAAUGCUUAUAACCCAUUAAAUACCUUAAUUAACAAAAUUAUUUAUUUAACUCACUAAACACCUUAAUUUAUUUAAAUAUUUUUUAAAUUAAAUAAUAUUACUAAAUUACUUAAUUACUUAGUUACUAAAACAUUUUUUCAUUUGAUUAGUUCAAUUAUUUAAUUUUUUAAUAAAAAAUUAAUUAAUUUAAAUAUUUUUAAAUUCAUCUUUGACCCGCAAUAAAAAUCAACUAACUCCAUCUUGUACAUCACUCCGUCGUAAUCCUCAAGUACCUCUUUUAACAUCCACAAGUGACCCGAGGGCUGAGAUUGUCGACAAAGACCGUCCACAGCAAUGCCUUCCAUUUAUAAUCCAUCGUUUCAUGACCAUUCGCUUUCCUUCCAUACAUCGCUUUCUACCAAUUUUUUUUAUUAAUUUCUUUUCUUAAAUAGCGGACAUCAUAGAAACAGCAUUUCAAUCCAAGCAUUAAUUGCUCAAAGCUAUAUGUAUAUAUACAUCAAAUUCAUUGUCUAGAGGCUCCAUGGGUCAAAAUUGGCAAAACUCGAGCUACAUAUAUCGAUGUCCUUGUAAUUAUAUGGCCUAUACGGCCACACCGAAACCCAAAGCUAAAACCGAAAAUGAUAUAAAAGAAUUAUAAUGAAUUUUAUCAAUUUUUUUGGCCGAAAAAGGUUAUAUUUAUAUCUAUAAUUUUAUCCUAUUCGAGUUAAUUCUGAUUAUUAUAUUUUCAAAAUUUUUUAUGAUUUUCCAUGAUGCACAUAAGCAAUGUUAUACCGCAUCAGGGAUGUGUCCAAACUAAAAAUGGGAAUAACAUUAUUUCAUUAUAUAUAUGCUUCCCAUAGUGACUUUAGGCCUAUUGCUGUUCUAUGUAAUUAUACUUGAGUCGUCUUCAGUAUUCCAAAAAGAAGAGAUCCAUAACAAAAGACGCAUCGAUAUCAAACCAGAAGAAGCCUACAUGGGUUUGUCUGCAUCACGUCCUUCAAGAUUUUCUGCUGAGUGAUCCUUCUGGAUUAGAGUUGUUUUCAUCAGAAUCUUCAGGUGACAAAAGGUCACCACAAUACAUUUGAGGAUGCCAUGGAUCUUGGAAUUUCACCAAGCAUUUAGCAUAAUUCUCUGGCAGCCUCCGGCAAUGAAGUCGAUAUUUCUAAAAGCGAAGACAAGAUCGAGCGUCAUCUUUCUUAAAUCUGAACUCAAUUCAUUAAAAAAGGAGUACACGCAAUUUAUCAUUAUGUCAUUUCUAUAAUCUAAAAUAUCAUGUUGAAAAAUAAUUGUGAAAUGGUGUAACAAGUAAGCAAAUUAAUUGCAAUCUGUAGAUACUGGAUAAAACAUGUCCUAGGCAUGCAUUCUUCAGUCCAAUAAUACAAAGAGGCCGACUCCUUGGGUGUGUAGAAUUCAUCAAAUUAUAUAUUUUUUAAUGACUUUUCAAAAUAAUUUUUUUAUUGAAUAAUUAAUAUAAUUAAAAAAUAAUAAAAUGACUUUACAAGUUCCAUUCAAUUUUAUUCAAUUCUUUAUUUUUUUUUUAAUUUUUUAAGUUUCUCCACCCAUCUUUCCCUCUCUUCUUUUCUAUCCUUAUACUGUGAAAUUAUAAAGAAGUAAAGUUUUUAUUUAAUUUUUUUAUUUAUAUUAUUAUUAUUAUUAUUAUUUAUUUAUCUUUUUCAAUUCUAUUUUAUUUGCUCAUAUAUUUUAAGUUUCUGUAGAUUUUCUUUUCUAAAUUUCUAUGAAUCAUCAACCAUAUUCUUUUUUUUUUUGUUAUGUAGGUUCUAUUUUUUACUUGUCAUAUUUUUUUUCUAUUAUGUGAAUUUUAUUUUUAAUGAUUUUAAUUUUUAAAAAUUAAAAAAUUAUUGUAUAUGUAAUUCUCUAAUAUAAGUUCACCAAUAUAUUAUUUUUUAUUAACCCUAAUUAUAUAACAAAAAAUUAUAUUGAGUAUAUAUUUUUAAUGUGCUUUAAGUUUUAUAUUUAGUUGAAAGGAAAUUAUCUUAUGUAUAAGAAAAAAUUAUUAAUUCUGUAUAUCGUAUUUAACUAUUUAUAAUUUAUAUAUUAUAGUUUAAUAUUUAGUAUUAUAAGCUUAAAUAUAAUAAAAUAAGAAUAUUGGAUGUUGACUACAUUGAUUUUUUUUUCGUUUAUAUUGAGAAAGACAAUAUUUCGAAACAAAAUGAAUGAUAAGUUUUUUACAGAUAAUUUACUUAUUUAUAUUGUGAAAGAUAUUGUCAUUGUCGAACAAAACUUUCCUAAAGCACUAUUAUAAGUUUUUUUCUUUUUGUUUCUUUUGAUUUCAUGUUAUAUAAAAUUAUGAGGAAAUUGUGAAAAAUGAUCUUUCUUGAUAAAGACAUUUUAAAAGUAACCAUUAAAAUAAAUUUAACUAUUUUUAGCCAUAUUUACUCAUAACUUGACGAAAAUACUUUUUAAAUUAUUUCAAAUAAAUUAAACCAUUCAUCACAAUUUCUUCCCAUUUGUGCUUCGGAUUUCUCUCUCACCAUCCCAAUCUCUCAAAUUUUAUCUAUUUCUCUGUUCGGCAUUCAUCUACUAUGUUUCCAAUUUCUCUCUUUGACGUUUUCAGAUUUCUCUUUCUUACGCUUUUAAAACACCGAACAAUGGUUUUGACGUGCUUUGGUGGGUAGCUGUUUGGAAAAUUCGAUAUCUAGGUAUUUUGGAUAAAACUAAAAUGGUAGAAAUAAUCACAAAUGUAUGAAAUAGUUUUUAAUUGAAUCAAUUCGAGACCUAGAUACCAAUAAACUCANNNNNNGUUAGAGAGGAUUUGAAGUUUUGGCUCGUAAGUAACAAUAACAUUUUAGGCAUUAAAGUAUAACAAAAUGUUUUUGAAUAUGUCGUGUAACAACAAUAUUUUUUCAAUAUGGCAUGUAACAACAAUAUUUUUUUUUUUAACAUGGUGUGUAACAACCUUUUUUAACUAUGACUUGUAACAUAUUUUUUUACAUAGCGUGUAACAAUAGUAUUUUUUUUUCAACAUGGUGUGUAACAACCUAACCAUGGCUUGUCACAGUUUUUUAUACAUGGCGUGUAACAAGCUAACCAUAACUUGUCACAGGCUUUUGUACAUGGCAUGUCACAUAUUUUUGUACAUAACGUGUAACACGCUAACCAUGAUUUGUCAUACGUUUUUGUACAUGGCGUGUCACUUAUUUUUGUACAUAGCGUGUAACACGCUAACCAUGGUUUGUCACAGAUUUUUGUAUAUAGCGUGUAACAUCAUAACAUGUAACUUCAUUAAGAGUAAUUUUAUCCAACUUGACUAAAAAUAGUUAAAAUUAUAAAGAGGUCUAUUUUUAAAAACAUAUUAUCUUUAAGAACUAUUUUUUAAAAUGCCCCUAAAAUUAUUAUCUAUUAUAAAUCUUUUGAUUAUAAAUGGUUAAAUUCAAUAUAUUAGUUUUAAAAAAUUUUCAGUUUUAUUCUUUUUAGCUUUUGGCCCCUAAAAAAAAUUUACUAGCUCCGCCCCUGUUUGUUUAGACAACAUUUCAUCGUUAGCUAAUAUGAAAUGCAUUUGGUUUCUUCAGAAAGGUUUGGACAAUUUAUGGGUUUAAAAUUUUUUUAUUUUAAUUUUUAUUGAUUCAUUUUCAAUAAGAAAUUUUUUGAACUUGAUUUAAGAAAACUUAUUCUUCAAAUGUUACAGGUUAUGAUUUAGAAUUCGGAAAUGAACCUGGAGGUGGCUCUUUACUUGAUCAUUGGUGAGGCCCUCAACUUGCAUGACCUCUCUGAUUUGCUUAGGAGUUGCCACUGCCCAAAAACAUACAUGUCAAUGAAAUAAAGAUGCAUAAAAAAUAAACUUAGAUUUGUUUUUUUAUGCCACAUGCAAAUUUAAGUGGAGUACAAGAAAAUUUAUCACAAGCAUAGCAUCCAAUGCAGGAGAUUUAAUGUUAAUUAUCCAAAAACCUAGGCCUUCCAUCUAUAAAAGAAAGUCUGAUGAUAUCAGGUUCUACCUUCAAUGCCUCCAAGGAGAUUCAAAGCCUCCACAAACCUUGCAUGAAGCUCUGGUGACCAAGAUCUUCUGUUAUUCUUCCAAAUAGGUUUUGUUAGUGGCCUAGGGUGAUAAUUCAGAGUUCGAUUAUCAGCCCUUAGAUUCAAUCUUGAGUCACCAUUAUUUGUUCCAACACUUGCAAAUCUACUGUAUGAUUUUCUUAUAAUCUCCUUGCUAAUGCAUCCCUUCUCAGCAAGUGAUAAGCUGAAAGUACUCUCCUUGAAAGGAAUGGGAUUCUGAUUUGGGGCCUGGUGUCAAAAACAAUGCAAGCAGUUUUUAGUAAAGAUUAAUUCACCAAGCCUUAAAAAAGUUUCAUGUAUUUUGGUCUUGUGGGGGUUACCUGAAUAAACUCUAUGAAUGUUUUCUGCUUCUUAUUAUUACAGUUAGAGUUCCAAAGCUGAGGAGAAGACCUCAUCAAACUCUUUCCUUUGCAGUCAUACUUCUCUGCAGCUGAUAUAUCUGUUUGUUCUUCUUCAUAAUGUUUCCUCUUGAUCGCCAAAAACUCCAUCAAAGGCCUUCCAGUUUCAGAUUCCAUUCCGUUCUUGAUGCUCAUAAAUUCAUCUUUCAAUGUCCCAAGCGCUACAUCCCACAGCAAACAAAAAUAAGCUUCAAUCAUAUCAUUGUUUAUAACAAUUUGAAAAGGGUAAAAAAAAAGGGGUGAGGGGAGUGAACUUAAUUAAUUGGCCUCACCCUCCAUCAGAAGCAGCAUGCAUUGAGGAAGUUGAUGUUUGAAGGCGACAAUACUGUUCAAUUCUUCUUCAUGCUGAUUGAUAUAAUCAUUCAACACUGCUAAUUUAUCUGAUGCAGUGUCCACGUGUGACAAAUCUUUCAGUAGGUUGGCUAUGGUUUUAGGCACAUAGGAUGGUUUGAGACUCAAGUUGAGCUCAAGAGAACUUGAUGAAGCCAUAUUUUUCUUCCCCUUCUCUCUAUAGCAAAGGACUCUCUUUUCCUUUUUCUUCUUGAGAAUGCAACAAUCAAAAGGUUAGGGAGGCAGUUGAAAUAGAAGAAAUUAAAACCAGAAUCCUGUAUAAUCCUAAAAGACAAAAUUGAUUACUUAUGAGAAGUUCCCAUAUUGCAUUCUUUUCAGUUUGAAAGGGGAAAUUAAAAGAAAAGAGAAUACCACUAUAAUAACUUCCCUGGCCUGAUAUCAGAUGCUCAGACGUCAUUAAUGUUUGAGUCUAUUUGCUGAUCACUACUCAUGUUUGACAACUCAACUCCUGACUUUGGAUACUAUUUUGGAAUCUACCUCUUAAUUGGUUGACCCUUCUUAACCUCUUUUUUUUUUUUCUUAUGGCAUGUAAAAAAAUUAUUUUUUUUUAAAAAAAAAGCAUAAGAAUUAAGGAGACAUUAAAAAAAAAAACGACCUUGUAAACAGGGAGUGGUGUCUGGUGCAAGCAAUGACGGGAUCAUAUAAAAUUAUAGAUCUAUAUAGUUUAAAUUUUAUACAUAUAAUAAUAAAAAGUUAAAAAUUAAAAAGUAUCAGCCAUCAUCUCGACUUUACCAUUAGGUGCAAAACAGUAUAAGAAGAGAUAUAAAAACCAUCAAGAUCAAGCAACAACUCAAGAAGACAAAAGAUGCUCGAGGCAUGUAAAAAUCAGAGAGAAGAAAAACAAUGAUCUCAGCUCAUGAUCAUGUGGUUCAAUUCAAGAAAAAAUGAACUAGGGGAAAAAACAUGAGAUUAUUUGUGUCCUAGGUGAAGUGGGAUUCUAAUGCUUGACUGGUUUAAGAAGCAUGAUGAAGCAGGAAAAUAAAGUUGGCAAGGCAAAUCAAGGAAAGUAAAUUCCCAAAUUGCCACAGUGUGUCUUCCACAUAAAUUGAGCAAAAACAAAAAAAAAACCCCCCAAUACUUUGACAGGAAUAUUCAGCCACGUUAAGCAUUCAACUCAGACUAAAGAGCUUCAGCCCUAACCGCCUUUUUGUCAUUGCCCUCAUAUUUCAUCACUAUCCCUUGGAAAUCAGAUUCCCCUUUUUUGGACAAAAAUUUAAAAGUAUCUUUUCCUAAAGGAAAAAAGAAAUUAAAGAGUUUUAAUGCAGACUUGUUGUCUCAUUAAUUGAAGGUUCCUUGACACUCUAAUUUAUAAGGAAGGAUCUCUCACAAGAGAGACACUUGGGUUAAGCAUGGAACAUGCAGGUUUUACCACAUGCUUGCUCCAAAC